UGGGAUCGGCUAUAUGAAUCUUAGAACGCCAUUGUGCUCGAUCCUGUGUCAUGUCCUUCGUUAGAUCCAAGUACUCUAAGUCUUUUCUUAGAGUCUCUUCCAAAGUUUUCCUAGGUCUUCCUCUACCCCUUCGGCCCUGAACCUCUGUCCCAUAGUCGCAUCUUCUAAUCGGAACGUCAGUAGGCCUUCUUUGCACAUGUCCAAACCACCGUAACCGAUUUUCUCUCAUCUUUCCUUCAAUUUCGGCUACUCCUACUUUACCCCGGAUAUCCUCAUUCCUAAUCUUAUCCUUUCUCGUGUGCCCACACAUCCAACGAAGCAUCCUCAUCUCCGCUACACCCAUUUUGUGUACGUGUUGAUGUUUCACCGCCCAACAUUCUGUGCCAUACAGCAUCGCCGGCCUUAUUGCCGUCCUAUAAAAUUUUCCCUUGAGCUUCAGUGGCAUACGGCGGUCACACAACACGCCGGAUGCACUCUUCCACUUCAUCCAUCCAGCUUGUAUUCUAUGGUUGAGAUCUCCAUCUAAUUCUCCGUUCUUUUGCAAGAUAGAUCCUAGGUAACGAAAACGGUCGCUCUUUGGUAUUUCUUGAUCUCCGAUCCUCACCCCUAACUCGUUUUGGCCUCCAUUUGCACUGAACUUGCACUCCAUAUAUUCUGUCUUUGAUCGGCUUAGGCGAAGACCUUUAGAUUCCAACACUUCUCUCCAAAGGUUAAGCUUUGCAUUUACCCCUUCCUGAGUUUCAUCUAUCAACACUAUAUCGUCUGCGAAAAGCAUACACCAAGGAAUAUCAUCUUGAAUAUGUCGUGUUAACUCAUCCAUUACCAACGCAAAAAGGUAAGGACUUAAGGAUGAGCCUUGAUGUAAUCCUACAGUUAUGGGAAAGCUUUCGGUUUGUCCUUCAUGAGUUCUUACGGCAGUCUUUGCUCCUUCAUACAUAUCCUUUAUAGCUUGGAUAUAUGCUACUCGUACUCCUUUCUUCUCUAAAAUCCUCCAAAGAAUGUCUCUUGGGACCCUAUCAUACGCUUUUUCCAAAUCUAUAAAGACCAUGUGUAAAUCCUUUUUCCCAUCUCUAUAUCUUUCCAUCAAUCUUCGUAAGAGAUAGAUUGCCUCCAUGGUUGAGCGCCCUGGCAUGAACCCGAAUUGGUUGUCCGAAACCCGUGUCUCUUGCCUCAAUCUAUGCUCAAUGACUCUCUCCCAGAGCUUCAUUGUAUGACUCAUUAGCUUAAUACCCCUAUAGUUCAUGCAAUUUUGUACGUCGCCCUUAUUCUUGUAGAUAGGCACCAAAGUGCUCAUUCGCCACUCAUUUGGCAUCUUCUUCGUUUUCAAAAUCCUAUUGAAAAGGUCAGUGAGCCAUGUUAUACCUGUCUCUCCCAAAAGUUUCCACACUUCGAUUGGUAUAUCGUCUGGGCCUAUUGCUUUUUUAUGCUUCAUCUUCUUCAAAGCUACAACCACUUCUUCCUUCCGGAUUCGACGAUAAAAAGAGUAGUUUCUACACUCUUCUGAGUUACUCAACUCCCCUAAAGAAGCACUCACUUCAUGUCCUUCAUUGAAAAGAUUAUGAAAAUAACCUCUCCAUCUGUCUUUAACCGCGUUCUCUGUAGCAAGAACCUUUCCAUCCUCAUCCUUGAUGCACCUCACUUGGUUUAGGUCCCUUGUCUUCUUUUCCCUUGCUCUAGAUAGUUUAUAGAUAUCCAACUCUCCUUCUUUGGUAUCUAGUCGUUUAUACAUAUCGUCGUAAGCCGCUAACUUAGCUUCUCUGACAGCUUUCUUCGCCUCUUGCUUCGCUUUUCUAUACCUUUCACCAUUUUCAUCAGUCCUCUCCUUGUAUAAGGCUUUACAACAUUCCUUCUUAGCCUUCACCUUUGUUUGUACCUCCUCAUUCCACCACCAAGAUUCCUUUUGGUGUGGGGCAAAGCCCUUGGACUCUCCUAAUACCUCUUUUGCUACUUUUCGGAUACAACUAGCCAUGGAAUAGGGUACACUUUUUUACCACAAAAGGGAAAGAAAAAAGAAGAGGGACAUUUAUAGCUAGUGGUCUGUCUCACUUAAUUUGUUUCUGUUUUCCCCCUUCUAUUCCCUCAUGCAGGUGAUUAUUCACUAUUACGUUGAACGCCAGUGCCUGCUGAAGUGCACGAGGAGUAUUCUCACACAUGCUUGUAAGUCAAUCAUCAAUCCCACCCUCCAUUUAAACUUUCUAUGGCAUCAUGGAUACAUUUUUAGAGCUGAACUUCAACAAAUGUUUGAGAAUUGGUCAUUAAUACAGUGUCUUUUGGAAGCGUCUCUGGAGAAGCUAAUGCUAUUAAGGAGGAAGUACUAAAGUUGAUUUCUGACGGAAUGGAGGCGAAGCUGAUAAAUGUGCUGCAAGUCCUUUCUCCUCCGAUCACCCUGAACAAAUGGUAUGCAUAAAUCCCAAUUCAAGAACGGACUUUGUUUGAUUUUGAGUCUUCUAAACUAGAUGGAAAAUAUGAUAUUACCCCUUAAGUUUAUAAAUCCCUACUCCCUAGUGUAGCAAUUAGGUUGUUUUCCCCGCUUCAGGCGCCCUUUUGAUCUUUUCGUUUUUAUGGGAUGUGCUAUGCCAAAUUAUGAAGUUCAUUGACAUCAAAAUUACAUCUUACUGCAUUGUUGACCAUCUUUGGCUACAAUGUCAGUAGUGGGGGACAGGAAGCUGACACAAUGGACAAGGUAACUCUUUGGUAUUUUAUCUUUUACUAGGUUUUCAUAUUGUUAUUUGAGAUAGUGUGUUGAAGGAGGUUAUGUUAAGUAAAACUGAGGUUGUAGUGACCUAAGGGUGUGUUUGUUUGGGCUCACUAAGUUUCAUUGGACUGGACUGGACUAUAGUCUAGUGUUUGUUUCGCACGGGAAUUAAGUUUAAUGGGAUUAGCCGGUACUCGCUCCGACUAACCCCUUCGCUAAAAGUUCUUAGCGAGAACCCCAAUUCUCACGGGAUUGCUAAGCCCUUCUUUGAGAGCGUUGCUCGUUCCUCAUUCUUGGUCGUCUUUCUCGUCGGUCCUCCUCCUCGCUGAUCCUCCUCGCUCGUCCUACUCCCUCGUCCUGCUCGUCCUCAUCUGGUAAAUUCCAAAUCCGACGACCUAUUUCUAUGAUUUUGUUUUGUAGAUUGUGAAAUUAUUAUUGGGUUCUGAUCGAUUUUGUUGUUUUGGGUUCAAAAUCUAUGACAUUAUUAAUGGGUUCUGAUUGAUUCCUCGUAUAAUCCUUUUAUUUAUGAUAUACCUUCUUAUAAUUUGAAGAAAUCAAAAUCAGUUAUGAUUUCAAUGUUCGAUCUUUUGAUCUACCAUUAUUUUCCAUAUAUUAAGUGAAUUCUCUAGCCCCCUUGCCUAUUUGGACAGUCUAGUUUGAGAUGAUAUAGUAGUUGAUAGCUGUGAGUGCAUCAGUCAUUUUUAAUGUCCACUGGGAUUGCAGUUUUGUUGUAGCUUUGUAUAAUCGUGAUACAAUAUGAUGCUUUUACCAUUGCCAUUGCAUUAGUUUCAUCUGGUCCCAUAGGGUCACAGGGUUAACUUAGUUGUUCGGUUGAUGUUUGCGAGAAAAUGGUGUUAUCCUUGUUGUUCAGAAAUAAUUUUGAAUUUUGAUUAGAAAGAUUGUCAAUUUUUGUGGAUAAUUUUAGUUUUUUUUUCUUCAAUUUUAUGGUUUUGAGCACAGUAUCAGCAUCCCUUCCUUUCACCAUAUAGUAUGUACUUGUGGCACAAGAGAAGUACCAAGUAUCGUGUAGGUCCUUACCGAUGCUUGUUCUCUCAACGAACACAACUAACUAUAUAUUAUAUAUAUAUAUAUAUAUUUGGUGGUGAGGAUUUACUUCUAUGAGGUAUUUCGUUAUCUAAUUUCUUCAAAGUGGUGGUGUUACUAGGUUUGCCAGAUCCUCAGGGAUGCAGCCACUAGUUACAACAUGAUUAUAGUUUUCUAUUAAGUAGAAUCAUCAUUUCUAGGUGUAGCGCCUUUUUGAGCUUUGAUUGUGAAAGAGGAAAUUUUCCUCUGUAACUUGUUAGAAAUAGUCUAGUUGUGAUUGUGACUAUGUAUUGUAUCUAACACUUGUGGCUUUUACUUGUUCGUUCACACCUCAUUUUGUUAUUUUAUUGUGUUGGAUUGGCGGUCCAUUUUUUACUGGUACCAUGCAUGUAGAGGCUUCCUUAUUGGUAAUGUAAGUAGGAAUUGGUAUGCUAUGUUGAGGUUGGAGCUCUUGUCUUGUUUCGUUAUGUGUCUAAAAUUCGUGAGUGAGUGUGAGAUGAGUGAGUGGGUGUGAAAUGGUUGGCCAUUCAUGUCUGAUCUUGGUUUUCAACACCUCUAGGCAUUUGAACUCAGAUUUCUGUCUUUAAGUAUAUGCAUUCUUCAGAUGCUUACUUAAAACCAACUUAGUGAAAAUGAUUCAAUGUUAACGGUUGAUCUCAUUUUCUUUUAAACAGUUUGAUUCGAAUUUUGAUUUAAAGAGGAAACAGCGCUUUUGAGCAUUUCGUCUCUUGACUUCCUAAGGUUAAUUGUUUCUUGUUAUCAGACAUACUAGAAAGGUCGACAUAUAAAAGAUAAAUACAAUAAAGGUUAACAACUAUUUAGAAACUUUCCCUAUAUUGGACAAUCUCAGUGUUGACUUGUUGUGAAGUGACCUAGAACAAGCCAAUGAUCGGUACUCUUGUGUUCGCAUAGGGUAAGCUUUUGUUUGUGCCUUUUGAUCUUGUUAGGAAAUAGAAAGGAAUUAUAAAUAUGCAAAUUAAAAAGGAAUAGAUUCUAUUGAAUAAGUUUACAACUAAAUGAAUCCAAAGCCUUUGCUCUAAAAAUAUUGUGCUAUUGUUGAGACCCCUGCUGAUUCUAUUGAUGGAGUUUCGGUUACAUAUUUUCAUAUAAAGCAAUAUACUUAAGACUAGGACAACAUAUUGAUGGAGUUUACUUCUUUUGAUAUAGUUGCCUUGUUUCAUGCUUACUUCUUUUGUCUAAAGCUUAAUUAUGAUGUCCAGUGGAAGUGUUAAGUUUUCUGGGCAUGUGCUUUCACCUUCUAUGUAUGUAACAGGGACUUUUGUUGGUAUACAUGGAAAUAAGACUCAUUAGCAUUCCUGAAUUUUGUGAGACGGGAGUUGUUGUUGUGUUAAACUUGGGGAAUCUUGAAUGUCGUACAUUCAGUGUGUGUGUAUGCAGUAUGUGUGCAGUGUGUGUGUGUGCAGUGUGUGUGUAUGCAGUGUGUGUGUGUGUGCAGUGAGUGUGAGUGUGUGCAGUGUGUGUGUGCAGUGUGUGUGUGUGUGUGUGCAGUGAGUGUGUGUAUGCAGUGUGUGUGUGUGUGCAGUGAGUGUGAGUGUGUGCAGUGAGUGUGAGUGUGUGUGCAGUGUGUAUGCAGUGUGUGUGUGUGCAGUGUGUGUGUGUAUGCAGUGUGUGUGUGUGUGUGCAGUGAGUGUGAGUGUCUGUGCUUUGUACUUGGUUUAUAACCAUGAUAUUACAAUGUGAAUGUUUUGUAUUGUGUGGGGUUGAUGCUGAAUUGCAUUUUUUUGUGGUUGUUGGUUGCAGAGAAGAGGAGCAUAAACGGAAGGCUAAGGCUAAGGCUACUGCAUUACAGGUGUCCUUUAAUUUCCCUCUUCACAUGCAAUGCCUAGCAAUGAUAGCAAUCCUCAUACUAGUGUUCUUAGACACAUGUUUAUAGAUAUAUAAGAGUAGAACAUUUUGAAUAUGAUGCCUCGGGUUAAUGAUAACUUUUUUUUUUCAACGCCACCUGUAUAUUUGUUGCCUCGGGUUAAUGAUAACUUUUUUUUUUUCCAACACCACCCGUAUAUUUGAUGCCUCGGAUUGUGACUUCGCUAGUUACUUUGAUCUAGUUCAUUUCGUAUCAUAAUCACUUCAUUUCCAUCACCCUUAAUAACAGUAAAUAUUACAUAUAUAAUGUCCUGAAUUUGUUUUUUGUUUUUUUUUUUGUUUGGAUAGAUAUGGAUCGAAGGAAGCUUUUAUUGAUCUUAUUGUUAGAGAUGUCUUACUUGGAGACAAUUUGUAUUUGUACGAUUCUUGUGGUGAUGAUGCUACGUGGCAAACAGAGACAUGUUGAACGACCCACAUUGACUAACCGUUCACUUAUUAGACGAGAGAUUAGUUUGUGUUAUCUGAAUGGUAUAAUAGGGAAUACUGAUACUGAAUGUGUUAACGAAUUGAGAAUGGAUAGAAGGACUUUUGGCAUAUUAUGCGACUUACUUCGUCAAGAUGGGAGGGUAAAAACUGAUGGUUUGGUGUCUGUAGAGGAACAGGUGUGUAUGACUUUACAAAUAUUAGCACAUCAUACUAAGAAUCGUAGUGUUGGCGGUAGAUUUUAUAGGUCGGGAGAGACUAUAAGUAGGUAUUUCAAUAGAGUAUUGCAAGGAAUUUUGCGAUUACAAGGUAUUCUACUAAAAGUCCCCCAGCCUGUGCCUAUUGAUUCUACAGAUGCUAGGUGGCGAUGUUUUAAGGUAUGAUGAGAAAUUUUUUUCAUUUUCCCUAAGCUUUAACUCUUCAUUCCCUUUGUAUAAAUUAACAAAAAGUUUUUUAUUUUUAUUUUAAGAAUUGCUUGGGAGCAUUGGAUGGAACACACAUUGAUGUGCAUGUACCUGAAAUUGACAAACCAAGAUACCGAACAAGAAAGGGUCGAGUCGCAACUAAUGUGUUAGGUGUGUGUUCAGGAGAUAUGCAGUUCAUAUAUGUGUUUCCGGGGUGGGAGGGUUCCGCAUCAGACUCUAGAGUGCUACAUGAUGCAAUUAGUAGGCCUAAUGGUUUUAAGGUACCAGCGGGUAAGACUAUUACUUAGUCUCAACUUUCUAAGUUAGGUUUAGUUAUGUUUGUCAACUACAAAACACUAAUAAGGUCUGUUUUUUUUUUCAUUAGGUUGUUAUUACCUUGUAGAUGGUGGUUAUACAAAUGGUGAAGGAUUCCUUGCACCCUAUAGAGGAAUACCUUAUCAUUUAUCUGAAUGGGAGGGACGAACACCUUCUAAUAAGGAAGAAUAUUUUAACAUGAAGCAUUCUAAGGCAAGGAAUGUAAUUGAACGCUGUUUUGGCUUGCUAAAAGGAAGGUGGUCGAUACUAAGGAGUCCAUCUUUCUAUCCGAUAAGGACACAAGGUCGAAUAAUUACUGCUUGUUGCCUACUACACAAUCUUAUUAGGCAAGAGAUGUCAGUAGAUCCAAUGGAGAAUUUGCCAAUAAUAGAAGAUGGACAAAAUACAGAAGAAGGUGAAUAUGUUGGUAGUGUUCAAACAUCGAACCAGUGGACUGCAAUGAGGAAUGAUAUGGCUCAGGAAAUGUAUAAUGAGUGGAGAGCAAUUAGGAACCAGCAACCGAACUAGCUAUAUGUUUUAAUGAUAACAUUUUAUUUUAGUAUUCCUUUUUAUCAUGCAUUUGUUAGAUAUUAGCACAAUGAUUGGAUGGUAUGCAAAUUAAUUGGAUAUUAUGCAAGUUGAUUGGAUAUUAUUUAAAUUGAUUAUUUGUAUGGUAUUUUCCUUCAUUAAAAUAUUUUUUGUUUAGGUAUGGAUAACGAAAAUAUUUUGAAUGCUACUCAAGAGGCAAAAGGAAGAAGGCGUAAAUGGGAAGCAUUUGAGGAAGAAGUAUUACUAGGAGUUCUUGAGGAUUUUGUUGCUCGGAAGCAACGGUGUGACACCGGUGCUUUCAAACAAGGUAUUUUGGUUGAAAUAGCAAAAGCUAUCAAUGUUUUAUGUCCUCAUUCAAAUAUAAAGGCAAAUCCACAUAUUGAGUCCAAGUUGAAGAAAUGGAAAAAAACAUAUAGUAUGGUCGUUGACAUGAUAAACACAAGUGGAUUUGCAUGGAAUGAUGUUAAAAAGUGCGUUGAAGUUGACAGUGAUGACGCAUGGCAAACUUAUGUGCAGGUUCAUAUCCUAUUUUAUUUAUGCAUUAGUUAUAUUCUUGCUCCUAUAUUUGUUACGCAUGCUAAAUUUUAGUUUUGCUAUGUUGAUAUAAUCUUAGAGAAAUAAAGAAGCCGAUGGAUGGAGAAGAAGCAAACCUUUUCCACUGUUUGAUAGAUUUGCAUAUAUAUUUUGGAAAAGAUCGGGCUACGGGUAAUGUAGCCGAAACCCCUGCUCAAAUGGUGGAGGAACAAAGUCAUGAUCAUGUUGGUGAAAGUGAUAUUGGAGGUGAAAAUUUUGUUUCUUCAAUGAACCAACAAAGCCAACAAAGCACCCCAUCUGAAAAUAGCCAAAGAAAGAGGAAAAGAGCUGUGGGAAGUUCAAGUGAUGGAACCGAGGCAAUUAUCAGUGGACUGAAAGAUUUUUAUGUUGAAAGUGGGAAGAGGAUGCAAAUGGUAACUGAAGCUUUAGUUCAAGGUACUGCAGAUCAUACUGACAUAGCUAAUGAACUUGGAGAAAUGGGUAUCUCUCCUAUGGAUCAAAUUGAUGCAUUGUCUCUUAUUUUGGAUAAACCAAAAAAUGUGGGAGUGUUCAGGGCAAUCAAACCGGAACUCAAGAAAGUGUUCGUCCAAAGGCUUUUAAGCGACAACGCAAGCGGAUGAGGAUUUUGGCUAAUGUUAACAUGGAUGUAUUUUAUUAACGUUAACAUGGAUGUAUUUUAUUAAUCAUACAAUCUUAUCUUAUGACUUAUAACUUAGCUUUGCACUAGUAUUUUGGCUUAUGUUAACUAGCCAUUUUGUAAAUUAUAGAGAUCUAUUUUGGCUAAUGUUAACUAAUGUUAACUAGGAUUUUCUAAAUUAUGGAGAUCUUAUGUACUUGUAUUUUGUUGAAGUUGCAUGUAUUGGCCACUAUUAUAGCGCGUUUACUAAUCCGUAAUCAAAUUGAGAGGAAUCGGAUUGAGGAGGAAUUUGAUUGAGGAGGAAUUGAAAUGAGGUGGAAUCAGAAUCAGAUUCUUGUUGAAAUUGUUUACUAAAACUGUCUGGAAUCGGAAUACAAUUCCAUAAAGCUGUUUACUAAUUCAGCAGAAUCGGAAUAUAAACCAGUAUGAUUACUAAAAUGCCCUUGUCCCAAAUCAAAUAUUUUAUAUACUUUUUUUAAUAAUAAAAUUUGAUAUAGUAUAUAAUAGUAACAAACUGAUUUUGCAUUGAGUAACAAACUGAUUCUGCAUGAAGUAACAAAUUGAUUCUGCAUUGAGUAACAAACUGAUUCUGCAUGAAGUAACAAACUGAUUAUGCAUUGAGUAAUAAAAUGAUUCUGCAUGUAUUUAGGAGUUACUUUAGAUCGAUUGAAUUUACUCUAGGUCGACUGAUAAAUAAAAUGGGUCGACUGAUAAAUAGAAUGGGUCGAUAAAUAGAAUGGGUCGACUGAUAAAUAGAAUGGGUCGACUGAUAAAGGCAACAGUCAGCCCUUUUACACAGAAUUAGUUCAAUACAUAAGCCGACUGAAGUAAUUGGGUCGACUGAUAAAUAGAAUGGGUCGACUGAUAAAUAGAAUGGGUCGACUGAUAAAGGCAACAGUCAGCCCUAGUUCAAUACAUAAACCGACUGAAGUAAUUGGGUCGACUGAUAAAUAGAAUGGGUCGACUGAUAAAUAGAAUGGGUCAACUGAUAAAGGCAACAGUCAGCCCUUUUACACAUAAUCAGUUUAAGUAAAGCAUUAACUUUAACAUUUCCAUCCUAAAUUUUUUUUCUGGACUUUUACACUACGACCCCUUGUGGUAAGAUUCCUGGCUCCGCCACUGGUUGUGCAUAAUGUGAAUGAGCAUAGAAUUAUGCUUAAUGAGCAAGAAGGACAUGGAAAGAAAUUGUUAGGAGCAUUUUCAGUCUUAACUCUUCAAGCUACAUUUGCAAAUUAAACCCAAUUCUAUUAGCAGGUAAUAGAAACAAAACAAUUGUCAAUUUUUUUUUUAAGAUUCAUAAUAUACAUGGCAAAAAUAUGCUCCAAUUAACCCAUAUCAUGAGAUUUGUAGCAUUACUCUAUUACACAAUGGCAAAAAUUUGUAGUCCUAGUCUAAGCAAACACAAAUCUGGUGAACAGUACUGUUUUUCUUAUCCUGCUUCUUAGUCCGAGACUGCACCAAACGCUUCACUAAGUUAGUCCAGCUUAGUCCAGUCUAAGCCAGUCCAGCUUAGUCUCGGCAGCUAGUCCAGUCCGAGACAGUCCGGCGCAACAAACGCACCCUAAUUGGACUGUGGGAGUCAUUGCUAUGACACAGUUGGGGGAAGUUUAAAGCCAGUUAUUAACAACUAUCAAGUCUCUGCUCGCAUGUGAUGUGCAGUAGCCUAAGAAACAUAUAUUUGGGUGGGGAACAUCUAUUUAGUUGUCCCUGUCUUACAUUCAUGCGAGGCUGUAGGACAGAAGAUGUGAAACAAAUUUUAGCUUCAGCAAGUGGGACUAUCCUAUCAUACUUGACAAUCUAAAGUUUCCUAUUUAUAUUUGAAAUUACGUUGAUGCCCAUGUACAAAUACGCGUCUCGACAUAUGUGUACACGUCUACAUGCACAUUUUUUUGGGAUUGAAUAAUUAUGUAUUUGUUACAAAACCUGAUGUUAUCUUGUCUGGUUGUUUUAUUAGGAUAUUGAUCUUUUCACUUUGUGGGCUGAGGAGACACUAAUUGAAGACAAUUUGGUUUUGGACAUUCUUUUCCCUGCUUAUUAUGAGUCAUUUUGUACUUGUAAUGGUGAAAGGUGGAAAACUUUGUGCGUGCUCUAUAAGGUAUUUUGUUAUCUUCGUCACAGAAUUCAUUUAUGAAGUACUCUCUUAUCCAGUCCAAGCUCAAUACAUUUUUCCUGCAGGGAAUUUUAUCUGGGUCUUAUAACUUUGAAAAGCUGGCAGUAUCAACUGAAGCACUACGUUCUUCUUAUCAAACAAAAUUCCAGCUGCUUCUAAUCCUUAUAGAAACCCUGGACCUGGAAAGUCUUCUCCAGAUGGUUCAUGAUGCAAUCCCUUUCAGGUUCUUAGCUAGUUAGGAUGCAUCUAUGUAUUUACUCUGCAAGUCAUGAUCUAGUGACAGUAAAUAUCUUUGGUCAAAUUGUUGAUUUUUGCAUUAAAUAUCUAAAUUGUGGAGUUCACAUUUGUUGCAAUAUUUUUUGGCUUAUGUCAUUACUCAAUGAAGAUUCCUUUUGGCGGAGACCAAGGGAUGAACUGUCCUGAGGUGGAAUCCACUUGUAAGGCAGACGCCCCAUGCCUUUAGUUUGCCUCAUCUUUAAGACAUGGUGUUGUAAUUUAGACAGGACCGAGUUAAAAUAACAAAGGUGGAUUUAAGUAUUGGUUUCUAUCGGGUCAGAAAAUUCUGCUAACCAUGAAAACCAAGCACAUACGAUUUUGUUCUUUUAUUAUUAUUUUUUUCAUGUGAAUGCAAUAUGAUUGAUACUUUUAUAUAACUAAGAAUCACUGACCCAUUACAAGGUCGAACGUUUCCAUACCCAAACUACAGAAUCCUGAUUUGAGUGAACCUUCACUACUAUCUGAUCUAUAAGCAUGCUUUUAGCCAAGCCUGUGAUGCUACUGUGACUGGGAAUUCAGGACAAUCUAUAUUUUUAGGUUUGCAAUCGGAGGACCAUAGGAUAAUCUUAUUUGCAAUUUUAAAAUGCCAUGAAGGCAACUAUGGAUAUAGAUAAGCUAAAUUGUGCUGGGUAACUUUCUUUUUAUUUAUUAAAAUGCAAACUGUUAAGCUUCAUCAGUAUCAUUCUAAUCAAUGGUUGAUUCCGUAGGGCUUAUAUGCUAUUGUUGGCUCUGUUCUUUGUGUCCAUUAUUAAAAUUUCCAGUUUAUACAUCCUUUAACUAUAUCCUUUCUUAUUUUCUUUUUCUAAAUGUUAGAACACUUGUGUUAUUCCUCAGGCAGGGCACAUUUGUUUUUACUUUGGCUGAUGUCCAAGAGAUGGAAGCGAUAAUUUCAACAUUCAAUGCUUUUGAAACAAAAGAAGCAGGUCCAUUAAUUCUAGCCUGGGCUGUGUUUCUUUGUCUGAUUUCGUCACUUCCAGAUAGUGAAGAGAGCAAUGUACUAAUGGUAUGUGGUUCUGUGCAUAUGUUGUCUCUGAUUCCAGUCUGCAUGAAUAAUACAAAUAAUUAAUGUGUUUAGUUUAGUUUUAUUUUAUUUUAUUUUCCAGGAGAUUGAUCAUGUUGGUUAUGUUCGUCAAGCAUUCGAGGCUGCAUUGUUGAAUUAUUGUGUUGAAAUCCUUCAAAGUGAUGUAUUGAAGGAACCAGAUGUAAGUUAUUCUCAAUUUGUAAGUGUAUGUGUUUAGAGUGAUCAGUUUCUAGGGGUGCCCCAUAUGUUCAAGUUUUCUGCUUGGUUUUUUCGUCUCUUGGGAUCCAUCUUGAGGUGUUAACGAGUUUUGCAUCUCUUCCCUCAGUCUUUUCAUUUCCUAAAGAGUGAUCAUUUUUGUGUUUUGUUUUCUUUAGGGGCCUGCUGACGGCUACCGUAGUGUGUUGAGAACUUUUGUAUCUGCAUUUAUUGCCUCUUAUGCGAUCAGUCUUCAGGUAAAUGCAUAAUGGACCUCUGCUAAAACCUUGUUAGCAUUUUUUUGGAUGUAUUUCUUAUUUCUUCUGUCCUUGUUUUGUGCAGCUGGAAGAUAAAUCUCUGAAGUUAAUACUGGAUAUUCUUUGCAAAAUUUAUCAGGGAGAGGUUUGGACACUUGUUAUAUUUCAGCAUCUGUGACUUCAAUAUAAAUAUUUUAUAAUUAUAAAGUUCAAAUUGUGAUUUUUGUUUGAAUAGUGUAAUUGUUACUCAAUUCUAAAUGGCAGUUCUUCUGAAUUUUGCAGGAGUCACUUUGUAUCCAGUUUUGGGAUCGUGAAAGUUUUAUUGAUGGCCCUAUCCGGUCUCUUCUUUGCAACUUAGAGGGUGAAUUUCCUUUCAGGACUGUGGAACUAGUUCGCCUUUUAUCAUCACUUUGUGAAGGAACUUGGCCUGCAGAAUGUGUGUGAGUAGAAUUAUUUGGCAUGGUCGUUCAAAUUCUGGUUUUUGAUAAACAAAAUGAGUGUAGACCUGAUCACUAUAUGGGUGUAGGGUUAAACUUUAAUUUGGUUAUCGAAAUCCUCAUUCGGGAAGUAUUUGCUUUAUUAGUUGAACUUGAUAAUACUAAGAAUUUUUGUAACAAUUAAUUAUAUUCGUUUAUCUAAACAAUUAAUUAUUAUGUUGUUCUCAUUGUUGUGUAAUCAUCCUGUCAACAGGUAUAACUUUUUGGAUAAGUCUCUGGGUAUAUCAUCCCUGGUUGAGAUUAAUGGCUCCUUUGGGGAGGACAGGUCUCAAAUUGUGGAGACGCACCUCCCGUUGCAUGUUCCUGGAUUUGAAGGUCUGGUCAUUCCCAGUAAAACCUGUGGACAUAUUUUAAGAUUAGUUAGUGGAAAUACCGCUCUUGUACGAUGGGAGGUAAAUGGCCAAUUACUUCAACUAAUAUUGGUAAUUGCUUUGUAUUGGUGAAUUUUGUAUGUUCUUGAGAAAUAUCACUAGACUUUCAACUGCUUGUAAGUGCACAGGUAUUAGGUUAUACUUUAAAGAGCAUUUUCCAAUGUUAGUGCAUUUAUCUCUGUGUUGUUUUUCUCCUUCCUCUUCAAAGUUUUGUGAAAUACUCUUUCAAGUGUAGUUCGAAAAUUGAAUAGGCAUUUUCAGGAAUUAUCAUGUGAAAAGUUCUUACCUAUCCUCAAAGGGUUAAAUUUUGUCUUUUUUAUGUCCCAAUUAUACACACUACACGUGCGGCAUCAAAAUUUUAUUUCCUAAAUUAUCUUCCUUCAAUAUCGUUUUUUAUUUCAUCUUCCUUCACUAUCUACAUCAUUAGCAGUGACAAGAUUUUUUCUGAGAUAAUAGGUUACAUGUAGUCUUACUUAUUGGGUUGUGAAACAGUAUAUUCAAGGAGAGUAAUAGAAGAUAUCCAAUUCUAUUUUCAAUUUGGUUGCUGUUUCAUGCUAAUUCAUGCCUAUUUUGUACAGUAUACACAAUCUGGGGUGCUAGUAUUGCUCAUGCACCUGUCUCAGGAGCUGUAUUUUGACAGAAAUGACAAGGCUCUUCUUAUUCUUGACCUAUUUAGCUGGAUGGUUACCUUUAACACAGUAUUGACACACCCCGAUCCUAGAAUCAAGGCGUGCUGGCCGUCAUGUGAGCGUGACGUAACCAAAAGUGCAAUGCAGAAGCAAAAGAUAUGAGAAAUACGAAGGAAUAAAAAACCAACUACUAGCAAUAAUAUCCAACUAACAUGCUAGAGUGAGUUUAAGUGUGCAGUACACAAGUUCAGAGCAUAACUACUAGGUGCAGUCAAGUAGGACUAUAAUUAAAUUACAACACCCGCAAGUGAGUCCUACAUGCAGGAAGUCUGUCAGAACGCCGAAGAAAACCUCGUGAGCCACCAACUGCUAACUAGAACCUGGAGGAGCGCAAAACAAAAUUGAGUGGGUCAGUAAAACCAAAGCUUUUCGAAAACAUUUCCUCAAAACAAUUCUAACCCCUCACUGUAAAACCUGUAUACUUUCCCAGAAAAUAACAUAAUAGUAUAUAAAUCCUCAUAUAUCUCAAAUCAUCAAUCUUUAUCAAAUCCAGAAAAUAUGCUAUGCUAUAAAUGUCAAUAAUAGAAUAUGGAUGCAUCGAUAUAACAGAUGACAUAAUGAAUCAAUCGAAGACCCUGCAGUUGGUCUUGUACGGUUAAUUCCAUAGCUCAUUAUCCCAAACCAACCGGAGUCACCACGGUGACCUGUACGGCACUACUCUGCACAUAAAUCGGAACUACCUGAAGUAGUCUGUACGACAAGAAUGGUGUACUAAUACGCUCUAGUGCUUCUCUCAUCAACCAUCUGCGUGCAUAAUCUAAGAUCACCUAUUAGUCGGAACCACCUCUAGUGAUCUAUACGACUAGCAUGUUGGAACCCUCCCAUGGUCUGUACGACAUGCACCUACUUGGAUCCAAGGUGAGCGUGCGGUGCGGUGAAUAAUAUAAGCACUAACACCAGGGGUGCAGGUUAUGAGCUCUCAACACAAUUUACAUCAUCAAUGAUUCACAUGAAUAACAUAAAACUCACCUGAUACUUACCUGUGCGUCCACAACACCAAUUCACAUAUAUAUAUAUAUGCAUCAAUUAUCAAUUCAUAUAUUUCAUAAUAUGCAUGCAUGGCAUUUUAAAACGUAUUUUCAUUUAAACUCAAUUUCUGGGAAAAAUAUCAAUAGUAUAUAGGUAUAAACAGAAAUACUGCCCACUCACUAAUAAGUCGAAGGGUCGUAACCCCCGUGACGUCCCUGGAUGCGCUCAUCCUCGGGAUAGGUAUCACCUAUAUGCGAAACAACUAUAAAAAUGUUAAUUAAAGCACAUAACCGACAAUUCGUAAUAACUUCUCAUACGGUGCUCAAUUUGGAUAUAUGAAUACCACAGUGACCUACUCGACGUCACGGAUGUCGAGGUAUUUUUAGAAAAAAAUUAUAAGGCUGCACGCGCCCCCACGCGCCGGCAUGGGCACGAGUCUACGCGUCCCCACGCACGUCUCCUACCUUGGGCUCACCGGACUGGUUUUUCCGGUGGCCGGAAAACUGGAGAUUUUUCAAUCUCCUUGUUCUCUGUCAUUUCUCAACCAUUUUUCACGUAUUUUAUGUCAAAAUGAUGCCCUAAGCAUGUAGAUUCAUGUUACACUACUUUAAGGCUCUAAAAACUACGAAAUCUCACCGGAAAAAUUCCAAGAAAACCGGCCAACUUUGAACUCAACAAUCCCGACUUCCAAAACCUUCAAACUAAGUACUCCGAGUUUCCUUAGGACCUCACUAAGCUCACUAUAAGUUUAGAAUUCCUUGAAAAUCAACACAUCACAAAUGCAUGAACAGUACUCAAAUCGGACCUCGGGUUUUCAACGUGAUUUCGAGGGUUCUACGUUCUGGUACCAUUCAACUCAGGAGGUCGAAAGGAUGAAGAACCUUACCUUUUUGGCGUCGAUCCGCGAUGUUUUGAGGGUUUUGUGCUUUGGUCGGUACAGUUCGAAAGGGAGAGAGUGAGACUGAAACGGAGAGGAGAGAGAGAGAGCACGGGGGAAAGGAGAGGGUUGUCUCGUGUGUGUGUUGUGUGGUCCACUCAAAAACAAAUCACUACUUCAUUCCCUAACCACACAAAUUUACAACCCAAAUUUUAAUCUAACUUAAAAAAAAUUCCAAAAGCUUAUGGAAUAUGUGUAAUUAGUCCAAAUAAUAUGUCACACACACAUACCUUAGUAACCGUCAAGGGUAAUCCUGUCAUUUCACGUUCUCGAUAAAUAAAAUCCCGGGACGGGCUGCGACAAUCUUCCCCCCUUAUAGAAUUUCGUCCUCGAAAUUCAUGCAACCAAACAAGCCACUUAAUACUCAUAAAACAAUCUAGGAUACAUCUCUCUCAUUCGAUCUUCCGUCUCCCAAGUAGCUUCUUCUACUAAGUGGUUCCUCCACAAUACUUUUACCAAGCUCACUGUCUUAUUCCUUAGAACCUUGUCUUUCCAAUCCAAGAUAGUCACUGGUUCUUCAUCAUACGUCAAAUCCGGAUUAAUCUCCAAAGGUUGAAGAGGAAUCACAUGUGAAGGAUCUGAAACAUAAUGUCGAAGCAUCGAGACAUGAAACACAUUAUGUACCUUAGAUAACUCCAGAGGCAACUCCAAUAUGUAAGCAACUUCACCAAUCCUCUCAGUGAUCUCAUAAGGUCCUAUGUACCUAGGACUUAGUUUGCCUCUCUUUCCAAACCGCACUACACCUCUCCAAGGUGAUAAUUUCAAGAAUACCAAAUUACCCACAUCAUAAACUCGAUCAGUAGCAUGUCUAUAUGCUAAACUCUUUUGUCGAUCUUGGGCCGCUUUCAGGUUGGACUUAAUCACCUGAACAUUUUGAGUAGUCUCAUCCACAAUCUCUGGGCCCUCUAGCACUCUUUCACCAACCUCUGACCAACACAAUGGCGUGCGACAAGCUCUACCAUAAAGUGCCUCAAAUGGUGACAUACCAAUGCUCGAAUGAAAACUAUUAUUGUAGGCAAAUUCCAUCAAGUCUAGGCGAUCAUGCCAAGAAUCACCAAACUGUAACACUGAAGAUCUCAACAUAUCCUCCAACGUCUGAAUAGUCCUCUCUGAUUGUCCAUCGGUUUGAGGAUGAUAAGCAGUGCUGUAAAGCAGUUUCGUACCAAGAGCUUCCUAAAAAGCUACCCAAAACUUAGAAGUAAAUCUUGGAUCUCGAUCAGAUAUAAUAUUCACUGGAACUCCGUGGUACUUCACAAUCUUCGUGAUGAACAACUUAGCCAAUUUAUUCAGAGGAUACUUUUCCCUCACAGGAAUGAAGUGUGCUGACUUAGUAAGCCGAUCUACAAUCACCCAAACACCUUCAAAUCCAUUUCGUGUACGCGGAAACUUAUACACAAAAUCCAUAGUUAUAUUUUCCCAUUUCCACUGAGGAACGGGAAGUGGUUGCAUCCAACCAAAAGGCUUCUUUCUUUUAGCUUUGACUUGCUGACAAACAAUACACCUACUUACAUACUCUGCAAUUUCCCUCUUCAUACCCGGCCAAUAAUAAAUAGUCGAAUGGUAUGGUACAUCUUAGUUCCUCCUGGAUGCAUCGCAUAAGCCGAACAAUGUGCUUCAUCCAAAAUUUCCUUCUUUAAUUCCUCAUUAUUCGGCACAUACAUUCUGUUCUCCUGCAUAAGCAUGCCAUCUGAUUCUCGAAUCCUGAGGUCUUUCUUUUUCCCUUCAUUUCUUAAUUGAAUCAUUUCUUAGAUCUCUUCAUCAACCAUUUGAGCUUCAAGUACACGAUUAACCGAGACUGGCCUGACUUGGAAACUAGCAAGAAAAGCUUCUCUUUGUUCUUCUAACUCCAACCUUACUCCAGUAGCUCUCAAAUCUGCAAGAAGAGGAACAUGACAAGCAUACAAAGCAUUGAGUCGACCUUGAGGUUUCCUACUCAGUGCAUCAGCUACCACAUUUGCACGACCCGGAUGAUACUCAAUAGUGCAGUCAUAAUCACUUAAUAACUCCAUCCACCUUCGUUGACGAAGAUUAAGAUCAUGCUGAGUGAAAAGAUACUGAAGACUCUUAUGAUCUGUGAAGAUCUUACACUUCUCACCAUAGAGAUAAUGCCUCCAAAUCUUCAAAGCAAAAACAAUGGCUGCCAACUCAAGAUCGUGAGUAGGAUAAUUCCUUUCAUGAAUCUUAAACUGUCGAGAAGCAUAGGCAAUCACUCUAUUAUGCUGCAUCAAAACACAUCCCAAACCAUUCAAAGAAGCAUCACUGUAAAUCUCAAAGUUACUGUUAUCAUCAGGAAGUACCAAUACUGGAGCAUGAGUGAGGCAAUAUUUCACCUGCUGGAAACUUUGCUCACAAUUCUCAUCCCAAUCAAACUUAACAUCCUUCCUGGUUAACUUCGUUAGUGACAAAGCAAUCAUAGAAAAAUCUUGAACAAACCAUCGAUAAUAACCUGCUAGACCCAGAAAACUCCGUACCUCAGUGACGGUUCGUGGUUGUUCCCAAUUCUCCACUGCUGCUAUCUUUUGAGGAUCUACUUGAAUUCCUUGUGCCGAUACUACAUGCCCAAAAAAUACCACUUGAUUCAACCAAAACUAACAUUUACUAAACUUGGCAUACAACUGAUGCUCCCUCAAUUUCUUUAAUACCAAGUUAAGAUGUCGAAUAUGAUCUGCUUUAGACUUAGAGUAUACCAGAAUAUCAUCGAUAAAAACAAUAACAAACCUAUUAAGAUAUUGCUGGAAUACCUCAUUCAUUAGCCUCAUGAAAGCUGCAGGUGCAUUAGUCAAUCCAAAUGGCAUCACCAAAAACUCAUAAUGUCCAUAACGGGUUCUGAAAGUCGUCUUAGGUACAUCAACAUCUUUAAUCUUCAACUGAUAAUAACCAGAUCUCAAAUCAAUCUUAGAGAACACACAUGCACCUUUAAGCUGAUCAAACAAAUCAUUGAUACGAGGCAAGGGAUAACGGUUUUUAAUCGUUACCCGAUUCAAUUGCCUGUAAUCAAUACAUAAUCUCAAAGUUCCAUCUUUCUUUCUCACAAACAACACUGGAGCUCCCCAAGGUGAAGUACUAGGUUGAAUGAAACCUUUAUCAGUUAAUUCCUGUAACUGAAUUUUCAACUCUCUCAAUUCAGCUGGAGCCAUUCUAUAUGGAGUCAAAGAUAUAGGAUCCGUACCUGGAAGCAAAUCAAUAGAAAACUCCACAUCUCUAUCUGGCGGCAAUCCAGGCAAAUCAUCUGGGAACACAUCAGGAUAGUGCCUGACUACUCCAACUUCCUCCACACUGCUAGGAACAACAUCAUUUAACACCACAUGUGCUAAGUAUCCUUGACAACCUUUCGAUAACUUCUUUGCUCUCAUGGCAGAGAUAACACCAUGUCUCACCCCACUGCUUUCACCUACAAAAGUAACCUCUAGUAAUCCAGGACGAUGAAAAGUAACAGAUUUCCCGUAACAAUCUAUAUGGGCACGAUUAUAAUGCAACCAAUCUGCCCCUAAAAUCACAUCAAAAUCCACAAUAUCUAACGGGAUAAGAUUAGCUGGCAUAACUACACCAUCUACCAUCACUGGACACCCUGGGUAAACACUAUCAACGUAACAUUUGUCCCCUCUAGGCAUAGCAAACUCUAAAUCAAAUCCUAGAGGUGUAGGGUGAGGUUGAGUCAUUUGAGCAAACGUAUGAGAAAUCACAGAAUGUGUAGCACCACAAUCAAUCAAAACUCUAGCAAAGUGACCAAGGAUAUUUAACAUACCCAUAAUCAAGUCCGGAUGAUUCUGAGCAUCUUGCAGUGAGAUGUGAUUAACACGUCCCUGAGCUUACUGUCGUCCACCACGACCUUUGUUGCCUUGGUUACCUCGCCCCUGAGAAGUAUGUCCCUGUCCUGACUGGCUAGACUGCCUAGGCGGUCCUGCGCUGCUAGUAGCAACCUCUCCCUGUCGGGGCUGACCUCCCUGAUGCCACUGAGAUCCACUAGUUGGCAUGGAAGAAUAAGAAGUAUAACCUCCAGGGUCUUGGGAAUACCCAGUCUGAGAAUAAGGAUCCUGGGAAUACUGAUACUGUCCGGGAGCAUAGGGAGCAAUAUCACCCUGGUAGUGGUAAGCCCCACCACGACCCGUCUGACCAUAACUGCCUGAUCCAAAGUUCUGCUGAAUCGGCGCUGGAGGUGGCAUAGUAGACUGCUGAGAUCUCUGCUGACUUUGGGGACACUGGGCAACCCUAUGACCCAUAUGUCCACAAGUGUAGCAAGCACCACCACUUCUCCUACACUCUCCAUGAUGUCUGAAAUUACAACGGCGGCACAACGGAGCACCAGAACCACCAGUACCACCAAAAUCUCUCUGUCUCUGAAACCUGGGUCCACCAGCAAAUCUUCCACUUCUCCUCGGGCCUGUGACACUAAAUCCUCCACUGGAAGAACUCGAGCUCGCUCCACUUCUCUUGAAAUUAUGUGUCUUACGGGGUCCCUGAGUGGAGAUACCUUUACCCCUAUCCUCUUUCUUCUGAUUAGCAUUCUUAUCUUCAUCAUCCUCACUGUUACUAGGAAGGUUGUCGGAAUCCUCCAUCCGAACCAAAAUCUCAGAAAACUCAUGAUAAUCGGUGCAAGGAAGUGCACUAGCAAAAGUCCGCCAUUUCUUUUUAGUUCCCAGCUUAAAACGGCGAAGCAUCUUUGCCUGAUUACUAGCUGUAUCAGGAUCAUAACGAGACAAAUCGGUAAAUUUCCUGUAAUACUCAUGCGCCGACAUAUCCUUUUGCUUCAGAUGAGUAAACUCCUGCUUCUUACGAUCAAUGUACUCCGGAGGAACAAAUCUUUUCAUAAAAUGCUCUUUGAAUACUUCCCAGUCAGCUGCCAUCUCAGGUGACAUAAACUUAGUCUGAUUAACCCACCAAGUUGCUGGCUCUCGUCCUAAAAAUCAAGUAGUGGUCUCCACCCAUCUAUUAGCAGGAAUAUUCCCUUGACUCUGCAUCACCUGGAAAGUCUUCUCAAUAUGGUCUAACCACUUUUCUGCCCCUUUAUGACCCUCAUUACCCAUGAAACGGUCCAAUUUCAUGUUGUACAUAGUCUCCAGGGGUGUUCUCUAAGGAGGAGGAGGAGGAGGAUGGAUUGCAUUCUGGAAGGCAUGGGCCAUCGCUUCCCCUAAUUGAGUUAUAUCAGGGAAAUUAGACUCAGCAGCACGACGUGCUUACCUACGAGGCUGCAUAGUUCUGACAGAAAACACCAAAAGAUCAUUAGAACAUUAACAAUUUAUACAGGACUGCAACCUAGGCUCUGAUACCAAACUGACACACCCCGAUCCUAGAAUCAAGGCGUGCUGGCCGUCACGUGAGCGUGACGUAACCAAAAGUGCGAUGCGGAAACAAAAGAUAUGAGAAAUACGAAGGAAUAAAAAACCAACUACUAGCAAUAAUAUCCAACUAACAUGCUAGAGUGAGUUUAAGUGUGCAGUACACAAGUUCAGAGCAUAAAUACUAGGUGCAGUCAAGUAGGACUAUAAUUAAAUUACAACACCCGCAGGUGAGUCCUACAUGCAGAAAGUCUGUCAGAACGCCGAAGAAAACCUCGUGAGCCACCAACUGCUAACUAGAACCUGGAGGGGCGCAAAACAAAAUUGAGUGGGUCAGUAAAACCAAGGCUUUUCGAAAACAUUUCCUCAAAACAAUUCUAACCCCUCACUGUAAAACCUGUAUACUUUCCCAGAAAAUAACAUAAUAGUAUAUAAAUCCUCAUAUAUCUCAAAUCAUCAAUCUUUAUCAAAUCCAGAAAAUAUGCCAUGCUAUAAAUGUCAAUAAUAGAAUAUGGAUGCAUCGAUAUCACAGAUGACAUAAUGAAUCAACCGGAGACCCUGCAGUUGGUCCUGUACGGUUAAUUCCAUAGCUCAUUAUCCCAAACCAACCGGAGUCACCACGGUGACCUAUACGGCACUACUUUGCACAUAAAUCGGAACUACCUGAAGUAGUCUGUACGACAAGAAUGGUGUACUAAUACGCUCUAGUGCUACUCUCAUCAAUCAUCUGCGUGCAUAAUCUAAGAUCACCUACCAGUCGGAACCACCUCUAGUGAUCUAUACGACUAGCAUGUCGGAACCCUUUCAUGGUCUGUACGACAUGCUCCUACUUGGAUCCAAGGUGAGCAUGCGGUGCGGUGAAUAAUAUAAGCACUAACACCAAAGGUGCAGGUUAUGAGCUCUCAACACGAUUCACAUCAUCAAUGAUUCACAUGAAUAACAUAAAACUCACCUGAUACUUACCUGUGCGUCCACAACACCAAUUCACACACACACACACAUAUAUAUAUAUAUAUAUAUAUAUAUGCAUCAAUUAUCAAUUCAUAUAUUUCAUAAUAUGCAUGCAUGGCAUUUUAAAACGUAUUUUCAUUUAAACUCAAUUUCUGGGAAAAAUAUCAAUAGUAUAUAGGUAUAAACAGAAAUAUUGCCCACUCACUGAUAAGUCGAAGGGUCAUAACCCCCGUGACGUCCCUGGAUGCGCUCGUCCUCGGGAUAGGUAUCACCUAUAUGCGAAACAACUAUAAAAACGUUAAUUAAAGCACAUAACCGACAAUUCGUAAUAACUUCUCAUACCGUGCUCAAUUUGGGUAUAUGAAUAUACCACAGUGACCUACUCGACGUCACGAACGUCGAGGUAUUUUUAGAAAAAAAUUCUGAGGCUGCACACGCCCCCACGCGCCUGCAUGGGCACGGGUCUACGCGCCCCCACGCGCGUCUCCUACCUUGGGCUCGCCGGACUGGUUUUUUCGGUGGCCGGAAAUCUGGAGAUUUUUCAAUCUCCUUGUUUUCCGCCAUUUCUCAACAAAUUUUCACGUAUUUUAUAUCAAAAUGAAGCCCUAAGCAUGUAGAUUCACGUUACACUACUUUAAGGCUCUAAAAACUAUGAAAUCUCAUCGGAGAAAUUCCAAGAAAACCGGCCAGCUUCGAACUCAACGAUCCCGACGUCCAAAACCUUCAAACUAAGUACUCCGAGCUUCCUUAGGACCUCACUAAGCUCACUAUAAGCUUAGAAUUCCCUGAAAAUCAACACAUCACGAAUGCAUGAACAGUACUCAAAUCGGACCUCGGGUUUUCAACGUGAUUUCGAGGGUUCUACGUUCUAAAAAUGGUACCAUUCAACUCAGGAGGUCGAAAGGAUGAAGAACCUUACCUUUUUGGCAUCGAUCCGCGACGUUUUGAGGGUUUUGUGCUUUGGUCCGUACAGUUCGAGAGGGAGAGAGUGAGACUGAAACGGAGAGGAGAGAGAGAGAGCACGGGGGAAAGGAGAGGGUUGUCCCGUGUGUGUGUUGUGUGGUCCACUCAAAAACAAAUCACUACUUCAUUCCCUAACCACACAAAUUUACAACCCAAAUUUUAAUCUAACUUAAAUAAUUUUCCAAAAGCUUAUGGAAUAUGUGUAAUUAGUCCAAUUAAUAGGUCACACACACAUACCUUAGUAACCAUCAAGGGUAAUCCCGUCAUUUCACGUUCUCGAUAAAUAAAAUCCCGGGACGGGCUGUGACAGUAUGGUUUUCAUCAUUAAUUGCUGGAGUCUUUAUGGUUUUCAUCCUUUUUUAGCAUUUAUUCGAUUUGGCAUAUGCUAAUUGGCUGAGGCAUACACUUUUCGUUAAGGUUUACGACUUUUGGGAUAAAAUGACACUUUAAAACAAAAUAAAACAUGCCCAAAAAGACAUAGUUUAAGGUACUAACAGUAAAAGGUUCAGAAACCGCCUUUUUACUCCAAUAACUUGGUGGUACUUUGCAUGGUGAUCGUUGUUAUGAUGACGAAGAGGACUAGAAUGAGUGAAUUGGAUUUUCCCUUAUUGGAAUUGCCUUUUGAUUAUGCUUGUUUGGAUUUCCUAUUCAAGUUUGAUGGUCUGGUUGAAUUAUAUGUUUAAUGGUUGAAUGACAGUUGGUAAUUUUUUUUUAUAUUUUUGUUAUUAUAGUUCAAGUUUUCAAAGGGUUAUGCCUCAACGUGUCAAGGCUAAGGCCUUGUCAAUGCCUUCGCAUUUUAAAGCAUUUGUUAAUAAUCUUGAUUAAGCUGUUUUAAACAAAUGUGGAUGCAGUCAGAAUAUUGAAAUAGUUUUCUCUUGGGUUGCCAUAAAUAUGAUAACAUUUUAUCAGCCUCCACUGUUAAAACACCAACUUCUGAAUUCUUGUGCUGUUUAGAGUGGACAGAGAAUAGUUUAGCUGUAAUUGAUCCUAACCUUGCCUUGUUUCCUUCCCCUCUCCCCUCUCCUCUCUUAAUUUCUUACCAUCUCUGUAACCAUCUCUACUUUACCAAGUUUUUAAUAUUGGUAUUUUAUUUAGGCUGUAUGUUUUGCUCUGAUGGACAUUGGGAACUCAUCACAUUUCCAAUCAACGGGCAUGAAUGGGCAGACAGAAAGUAAUAUGCGGUAAUUAAGCAACCUUUUUGUUUGUGCUUGUGUGUUUCCUCUUUCUUGCCUAUAUUAUCAUGUCUUGUAAUAGGCAAUUCUUGUUUUACCAUCCAGGUUGGUUGAGGUCAUUUGCACUUUGGUCAGAAAAUUAUCUCCUACUUCGGACGGUGCCGCUCUGAUGUCCGUGGGUAUAAAUAUCUUGGCAAAGAUGUUAAGAUGGUAACUUUAUCCCCUAUUGUCUUUUGAGUUCUUCUGUAUCUGUGUGUCUUUUUAAUCAGGGUAUUAUGAAAUUAAGUUUUGAAAGUUUCAAAGUCUUUAUGCUAUUAUUUAAAGCCUUCAUUUCGUAAAAUUAUAGCAAUAAGAAAAACUGAAAGAACUAGGGAUAUGAUGGGGACUUGUAGCUCCAGUGGUACAGAGCCGUUAACUCCACACCCAAGUUCCAAUCCAAACCUCCUCCUCCCCCUUUGAUAUCCUCUCCACCAGGAGGAAAUGCAGAUGACACACAGGAAUGCAUUUUCUACUAAAACAAAAACAUUAAUAUUUAUUGAUAUGAUGAAAGAAUAAUACACUGAACAAGUUGAUAGUCCAUUGUAUGCAAACAAUUCUAAAUAUUUAAAAUUUUAAGUUAAUCUCAAUAUAAAUUUUUAGCCUUGUCGCAUGCAAUUGAUUAACUCCGCCGUGUAAGUUUAUCUUACAUUGCCGGUCCCAAGCCCGGAUAAAGGAGGAGGGGGAGGGCGUCAGGUAGUCGACAGCCGGCACUCCAUGAUUACGUCGAAUCCUUAUGAAAAUGAAUCCAGAACAAAAUCGCGCUAAAGCUAGGGCGUCACCCGUAAGUGGCGCGCUGUGUGGCCCGAACACAGUGAUAAGUGAGCAAGGGUCGCUGUAUCUCCAUCGGCACCCGGAUGCAGUGUUAAAUGAACAAGGGGGCUAUAGAAACUUCUUUUCGAACGACUCCACUCAAAGUUGUUUGGGAGCAUAUGCUCCUAUCAACUUUACACGGGACACACAAAAGAAGUACUUUGAUCCUAUUAGACGGGGAAGGGUGAAGAAGCUAGGACAGAAGGGUAGAGUUCAAGAGAGCAAAAUGCGUUUAGGAACGUGGAAUAUAGGAACCUUGACGGGAAAAUCUAUGGAAGUAGUAGAAGUUAUGGUGAGGAGAAGGAUAAAUAUUAUGUGCCUACAAGAAACUAAGUGGGUUGGGCGUAAGGCAAAGGAUCUAGAAAACUCAGGGUUUAAACUAUGGUAUUCGGGCACAAAUAGAACGAGAAACGGUGUUGGCAUCAUCGUGGACAAGACCUUGACACAAGAUGUUGUAGAUGUCAAGAGGGUAGGAGAUAGAAUCAUGGCAAUCAAGAUUGUAAUAGGACAAGAACUUAUCAAUGUGAUUAGUGCGUACGCACCUCAAGUAGGGUUGGAUACGAGUUCGAAUGAGAAAUUUUGGGAAGACCUUGGAGACUUGGUGCAAGGAAUUGCUCAGACGGAGAAGUUAUUUAUAGGAGGAGAUUUAAAUGGACACGUGGGCAGGGAGACAGGCAACUAUGGAGGUUUUCAUGGUGGCCAUGGUUUUGGGGAGAGAAACGAGGAUGGGGAAGCUAUCUUGGAAUUUGCAAUGGCAUAUGAUCUCUUCUUAGCCAACACCUUCUUUAAGAAGAGAGAAGAACAUGUGAUCACCUACAAGAGUGGGUCGUCAAAAACACAAAUAGAUUUUCUUCUAAUGAGGAAAGGGGAUCGUAUAACUUGUAAGGAUUGCAAAGUUAUACCAGGAGAGAGCGUGGCUAAUCAACAUCGCUUGUUGGUGAUGGAUGUACAUAUCAAAAGAGUGAGAAAAAAGAACAAGACUUGGAAGUGCUCAAGGACUAGAUGGUGGAAUCUAAAAGAAGAAAAACAAGCCAUUUUCAAAGAGAAAGUAAUCACCCAGUGUGUGUGGGAUAGAGAGGGGGAAGCUAACCAAAUGUGGGAUUCCAUGGCUAGUUGUAUCCGAAAAGUAGCAAAAGAGGUAUUAGGAGAGUCCAAGGGCUUUACCCCACACCAAAAGGAAUCUUGGUGGUGGAAUGAGGAGGUACAAACAAAGGUGAAGGCUAAGAAGGAAUGUUGUAAAGCCUUAUACAAGGAUAGGACCGAUGAAAAUGGUGAAAGGUAUAGAAAAGCGAAGCAAGAGGCGAAGAAAGCUGUGAGAGAAGCUAAGUUAGCGGCUUAUGACGAUAUGUAUAAGCGACUAGAUACCAAAGAAUGAGAGUUGGAUAUCUAUAAACUAGCUAGAGCAAGGGAAAAGAAGACAAGGGACCUAAACCAAGUGAGGUGCAUCAAGGAUGAGGAUGGAAAGGUUCUUGCUACAGAGAACGCGGUUAAAGACAGAUGGAAAGGUUAUUUUCAUAAUCUUUUCAAUGAAGGACAUGAAAGGAGUGCUUCUUUACGGGAGUUGAGUAACUCAGAAGAGUGUAGAAACUACUCUUUUUAUCGUAGAAUCCGGAAGGAAGAAGUGGUUGUAGCUUUGAAGAAGAUGAAGCAUAGAAAAGCAGUAGGCCUAGACGAUAUACCAAUCGAAGUGUGGAAAGUUUUGGGAGAGACAGGUAUAACAUGGCUCACUGACCUUUUCAAUAGGAUUUUGAAAACGAAAAAGAUGCCAAAUGAGUGGCGAACGAGCACUUUGGUGCCUAUCUACAAGAAUAAGGGCGAUGUACAAAAUUGCAUGAACUAUAGGGGUAUUAAGCUAAUGAGUCAUACAAUGAAGCUCUGGGAGAGAGUCAUUGAGCAUAGAUUGAGGCAAGAGACACGGGUUUCGGACAACCAAUUCGGGUUCAUGCCAGGGCGCUCAACCAUGGAGGCAAUCUAUCUCUUACGAAGAUUGAUGGAAAGAUAUAGAGAUGGGAAAAGGAUUUACACAUGGUCUUUAUAGAUUUGGAAAAAGCAUAUGAUAGGGUCCCAAGAGACAUUCUUUGGAGGAUUUUAGAGAAGAAAGGAGUACGAGUAGCAUAUAUCCAAGCUAUACAGGAUAUGUAUGAAGGAGCAAAGACUGUCGUAAGAACUCAUGAAGGACAAACCAAAAGCUUUCCCAUAACUGUAGGAUUACAUCAAGGCUCAUCCUUAAGUCCUUACCUUUUUGCGUUGGUAAUGGAUGAGUUAACAGGACAUAUUCAAGAUGAUAUUCCUUGGUGUAUGCUUUUCGCAGACGAUAUAGUGUUGAUAGAUGAAACUCAGGAAGGGGUAAAUGCAAAGCUUAACCUUUGGAGAGAAGUGUUGGAAUCAAAAGGUCUUCGUCUAAGCCGAUCAAAGACAGAAUAUAUGGAGUGCAAGUUCAGUGCAAAUGGAGGCCAAAACGAGUUAGGGGUGAGGAUCGGAGAUCAAGAAAUAUCAAAGAGCGACCGUUUUCGUUACCUAGGAUCUAUCUUGCAAAAGAACGGAGAAUUAGAUGGAGAUCUCAACCAUAAAAUACAAGCUGGAUGGAUGAAGUGGAAGAGUGCAUCCGGCGUGUUGUGUGACCGCCGUAUGCCACUGAAGCUCAAGGGAAAAUUUUAUAGGAUGGCAAUAAGGCCGGCGAUUCUGUAUGGCACAGAAUGUUGGGCGGUGAAGCAUCAACACGUACACAAAAUGGGUGUAGCGGAGAUGAGGAUGCUUCGUUGGAUGUGUGGGCACACGAUAAAGGAUAAGAUUAGGAAUGAGGAUAUCCGGGGUAAAGUAGGAGUAGCCGAAAUUGAAGGAAAGAUGAGAGAAAAUCGGUUACGGUGGUUUGGACAUGUGCAAAGAAGGCCUACUGACACUCCGAUUAGAAGAUGCGACUAUGGGACAGAGGUUUAGGGCCGAAGGGGUAGAGGAAGACCUAGGAAAACUUUGGAAGAGACCUUAAGAAAAGACUUAGAGUACUUGGAUCUAACGGAGGACAUGACACAAGACAGAACAAAAUGGCGUUCUAAGAUUCAUAUAGCCGAUCCCACUCAGUGACUUGGAUUUUUCAAGUCUCCAACCGAGAAGUUUUCCUCACUCGGGAAAUUAAGGGAACACUACCUCAACCUACAUGCUCCACUCACAAAGCUUCAACAUACAAGCUUCAACAAAAGAAAAUUCAAAUAACUUAGCGAAGAAGGCUUUGGUGUAUUUAACACAAUACGUUGAAAUGAAGGAAAGCUUAUUUAUUGAUAUCCCCGAUAAGUUACAAAUAUGUACAUAUACUUGAGUCAAAAUAAACAAACAAGAGGGAGCCUUCACAAAGGUUGCUUAGGAGAAGUCUCAGCAGUCGGUAGAGCCCCAGAAAGAGAAGGCACCGGAGGGGGAUCAUUCGGAGCCUCAGUACUGGACAGAACCCUAGAAGGAGGAGGCAUCAGAGGUUGAUCAUUUGGAGCUUCAUUACGCGGUACAGCCCCAGAAGACGAAGGCAAUAAAUGUCUUUAGAACAAACCCACAAAUCUCUGAUGAUCAAGUAAAACCUGACCAUCAGAUUCCUUCAUCUGGUCAAGCUUCCUCUUCAUGUUUGUAGCAUAGUCAUGUGCGAGCCGGUGCAACUGUUUAUUCUCAUGCUUGAGUCAUCUAAUCUCUUGUUUGAGACUCAUCACUUCAGCCGCCAAUGAUUCAACUUGGCGGGUUCGAGCAAAUAGGCGUUGGGCCAUAUUAGACACAGAACCUGCACACUGAACACUAAGAGCCAGAGAAUCCUUAACAACCAACUCAUCAGACCGUUUGGAAAGUAGUCUGUUAUCUUUGGGAGUGAGAAGGUUCCUGGCCACUACCGCAGCGGUCAUAUCAUUCUUCAUCACGGAAUCCCCAACGGUAAGAGGACCAGUAGGGGAGACGAAGGAUGGGCGCCAUAUGUUGUCUGGAGAAGGCGGGGCUGCCUCUUCAACAAGGUUCAAGUCAAAACGACGGUCGGAGGGGCCAGACAUUUUCAAAGGUGUUGAAGAGAGAAGAGGUCGGACAAAUCAAGAUCUUAGAAGUGCAAGAAUGGAGCUUCUACUGGUGGAUAUUCAAGUGUGCUUUGGAACUUAAUGUCAGCCCCUAUAAAAAUCUGCACUCGACGAAGCUUCAGAAAUCGAAGAGGCGCCUGCUCAGAAAUCGAAGAGGCGUUUGCUUUCUCAAAAGUUGGGUUGCUCAGAGACCACGAGGGUCGAUCUCAGAAAUCGAAGAGGCGUUUGCUUUCUCAAAAGCUGGGCUGCUCAAAGACCACGAAGGCCGAUCUCAGAAAUCGAAGAGGCUUGGCUUGCUUUCUCAAAAGCUGGGCUGCUCAGAGACCACGAGGGCCGAUCUCAGAAAUCGAAGAGGCACCUACUUUUCCAGCCUUGUCAGCACCUGUCACACGUACACUCAGCUUUGCGGAAAUUAUGGGCAUUCUGUCGAAGAUUUCUGGCGAAGUAGAAAGCACUUGAAUCGUACUGUUCAAUCACCUACUUCCCACACGCAACAGUAGCUCAUGGGUACCACAUAUAACUUUGCCAAAGUUCUCUGACAAAGUUGAGACACGUGAAGCUUGCAGCUCUCACUACAUCGCUCUGACCAAGAAGGGUAAAAGAAUAGCAAAGAAACAACACUAACAAAGUUUAGACACAUAAAUUUUGAAGGUAUAGCUACCAUAUUAUUACCCACAAGGGUAAAGAAACAGUACCACUGCUGGAUAAUUGGAAAGUCCCGAUGUGUCAACCUCUGUGCUUCGUGGCAAGGUAGACUACCAAACAUGCCUAACCUUUACUCACAUUUGAGAAAACACUCCCAACAAGAUUGCUUGCUCCAAAAUCGAAGAGGCACCGCCCUCCGAAUCUCGAGAGCCAGACUCCCAACAUGAUUACUUUCUCAAAAAUCGAAGAAAGGGUAAAGGAACAGUACCACUGCUGGAUAAUUGGAAAGUCCCUGUGUGUCAACCUCUGUGCUUCGUGGCAAGGUAGACUAGCAAACAUGCCCAACCUUUACUCACAUUCGAGAAAACACCUCCAACAAGAUUGCUUGCUCCAAAAUCGAAGAGGCACCGCCCUCCGAAUCUUGAGAGCCAGACUCCUAACAUGAUUACUUUCUCAAAAAUCGAAGAGAGGGUAAAGGAACAGUACCACUGCUGGAUAAUUGGAAAGUCCCUGUGUGUCAACCUCUGUGCUUCGUGGCAAGGUAGACUAGCAAACAUGCCCAACCUUUACUCACAUUCGAGAAAACACUCCCAACAAGAUUGCUUGCUCCAAAAUCGAAGAGGCACCGCCCUCCGAAUCUCAAGAGCCAGACUCCCAACAUGAUUACUUUCUCAAAAAUCGAAGACACCGCUCUCCGAAUCUCGAGAGCCAGACCCCCAACAAGAUUGCUUUCUCAAAAAUCAAAGAGGCAUCGUUCUUCGAAUCUCGAGAGCCAGAUCCCCGACAGGAUUGCUUGUUCGAAAACCGAAGAGGCACCACUUUCCCAACUUCAAGAGCUGGAUCUCCUUGGAUAAAGCUUGUCUGUAAUCUUCACACGCAACAUCAGCUUUCCAGAUACCACAGACCACUUUUUCAAAGUGCUCUGACAAAGUUAACACUUGUGAAGCUGGCAGAUCCCACUACCGUGCUAUGACCAAGCAGGGUAAAGGAAUAGCAUUACUACUUGAUGUUAGGGAGACUCCUAUAUAUGUCGACCUCCAUCCCCAACGGACAGGCAGACCUGCAAAAAUGCUCAACCCUUCCUCUUAUCUGAGAGGGCACUCCCAACGAAGCCUUUUGAAAUAUUCAGCUUUCUUUCCCCCCGAUAAAACCUCUGUAAACAAGCUAUACUAGAGCAAGAAUAUCUCAUAUCAUCAGGGUUAAAAGCAAGAGUAUCCCAUAUCAUGCUUUUUCCCUGUCUUUUCCUUUGGCCUUGUUCUUACCUACAAGACAAGGAGAAAGAGAGCAAUCAGUCAGCACUUGGAAUCAAGCUUCCAGCCAGGAACUGACUGCCUGGAACCCCUUACCUGAUUACUUACCUGGCAUUGCUCUCGAGUACUCAUCUUCAACAUCUUAUGCUCCCAGGGAAGAUACCGCAUCUACCUGAGGAACAGAUAGGGCAAGUGAGAAGGAUACAAGGAAGCAUGUGGAGACAAGCGUAACAGCACACGUGCCGAUACAUCCACUACUCUGUCAAAAGCAAAAGUAUCCCAUAUCAGCAGGGUCGAACAUACUCUAGAUUUGAUGGACUUGUUUUGACCCUCAAAUUCUUCAGUCGGCCUUAUACUCUGGAGGAAACCAAAAAACCCUCCAGCCCAGUUCAAGAAUAAGCCUGUGGAAAGUUACUUCUUCAAAAGCAAAAGUAUCCCAUAUCAUCUCUUCUCAUUUUUCUUCUCUUUAUCCUUCAUGCUGCCUGCAAGAUAGGGAAAAUGUGAACAAUCAGCCGGAGCUCUGAUUGCUUACCUUGUCUGUCACCUCUUUCAGCAGAUCCCCUAGCUCGGCGACUUGGAGGACUCCUACUACAUGGUUUGUAUCGCGCUUGACCAAGCCUGAAACUACAAGUAAGCUUCAAGUGACAUUGAUACAUUACCUUGUGCAUCUCCACCAGCUACAGAUACCACCCCUGGAUGGAGGAAGAGUACUUCUAGAGAAGAUGCCACAUCUACCUAUGAGACAGAUAAGGAAAGUCAAGACGAUACCACACUCCGGUACUUAGAAGUUUCGUGGUUACGAGAUCAUUCUCCCACAAUAUUUCCUAAUGUCAUUUGUACUAAAUCAUUCACUUGUACUCACUAAAGGAGAGCUUGAACCUAUGUACUUGUGUAAACCCUUCACAAUUAAUGAGAACUCCUCUAUUCCGUGGACGUAGCCAAUCUGGGUGAACCACGUACAUCUUGUGUUUGCUUUCCUAUCUCUAUCCAUUUAUAUACUUAUCCACACUAAUGACCGGAGCAAUCUAGCGAAAAUCACAAAAAGUGACCGUUUUCGCUACCUAGGAUCUAUCUUGCAAGAGAACGGAGAAUUAGAUGGAGAUCUCAACCAUAGAAUACAAGCUGGAUGGAUGAAGUGUAAGAGUGUAUCCGGCAUGUUGUGUGACCGUCGUAGGCCACUGAAGCUCAAGGGAAAAUUUUAUAGGACGGCAAUAAGGCCAGCGAUGUUGUAUGGCACAGAAUGUUGGGCGGUAAAGCAUCAACACGUACACAAAAUGGGUGUAGCGGAGAUGAGGAUGCUUCGUGGGAUGUAUGGGCACACGAGAAAGGAUAAGAUUGGGAAUGAGGAUAUCCGAGGUAAAGUAGGAGUAGCCAAAAUUGAAGGAAAUAUGAGAGAAAAUCGGUUCCGGUGGUUUGGACAUGUGCAAAGAUGGCCUACUGACGCUCCGGUUCGAAAAUGUGACUACGGGACAGAGGUUCAGGGCCGAAGGGGUAGAGGAAGACCUAGGAAAACUUUGGAAGAGACCCUAAGAAAAGACUUGAGUACUUGGAUCUAACGGAGGACAUGACACAAAACCGAGCGCAAUGGCGUUCUAGGAUUCAUAUAGCCGACCCCACUUAAUGGGAAAAGGCUUUGUUGUUGUUGUUGUUGUUGUUGUUGUUGUCGCAUGCAAUUGAUUAGCAACUGUUACUCAAAGCUGUCUUCAACUGGAAAUGUGUUGUUGGCUAUGUAUUGGGUGUGAGUUACUUUUGAUCUGUUAUAGAGUUGAUGUUAUGAUUCUGAUGUUUGAUACGGCUCAUUGUUGUAGGUUUGUUCUUUUUUGGGUGGACUUGUUCACUGUGCUUGUAAUUUUGCUUUGAUAUUAUUAUUAAUAAAGUUCUGUUUCCUUAACAGCCCAAUCUUUUAUACAAUGUAUUUUGAACUUUUUUUUUUGUGGAUAAAUAAUAUAUCUUGAAUUUCAGAGUGUUAUAUUAGCCUAUAAUUAUUGCUUGUAUUGUUUUUGGCAUAGACUGGACCUGAGCACAACCUGUUUUUCUAACAUGCAUUCACUGUGGCAGUUCCCCUUCUCGUGUGUCUGAGGUCGCCUUAAAAGCAAAUAUAUUUGGUUUCAGGAAUGGCCACAAUGAUCCAUCAAGGUGAAUGCUUUGAGAAAAGACUAGCUUUCUUUGUUCUGCUGUUAUCAUGCAUGCAUAAAAAUGUGCGGUUUACAUUCCUACCUUUAAGUUAAUUGAGGUAUACAAUUAUCUAAAGUGGAGCUUUAUUUAAGUUUCUCAUUUGGAGGAUUUUAGAGAAGAAAGGAGUACGAGUAGCAUAUAUCCAAACUAUAAAAGAUAUGUAUGAUGGAGCAAAGACUGCCGUAAGAACUCAUGAAUGACAAACCGAAAGUUUCCCCAUAACUGUAGGGUUACAUCUAGGCUUAGACGAUAUAGUGUUGAUAGAUGAAACUCAGGAAGUGUUGGAAUCUAAAGGUCUUCGCCUAAGUCAAUCAAAGACAGAAUAUAUGGAGUGCAAGUUCACUGCGAAUGGAGACCAAAAUGAGUUAAGGGUGAGGAUCGGAGAUCAGGAAGUACCAAAGAGCGACCGCUUUCGCUACCUAGGAUCUAUCUUGCAAAAGAACGGAGAAUUAGAUUGAGACCUCAACCAUAGAAUACAAGCUGGAUGGAUGAAGUGGAAGAGUGCAUCCGGCGUGUUGUGUGACCACCGUAUGCCACUGAAGCUCAAGGGAAAAUUUUAUAGGACGGCAAUAAGGCCGGCGAUGCUAUAUGGCACGGAAUGUUGGGCGGUGAAGCAUCAACACGUACAUAAAAUGGGUGUAGCGAAGAUGAGGAUGCUUCGUUGGAUGUGUGGGCAUACGAGAAAGGAUAAGAUUAGGAAUGAGAAUAUCCGAGGUAAAGUAGGAGUAGCCAAAAUUGAAGGAAAGAUGAGAGAAAAUAGGUUACGGUGGUUUGGACAUGUGCAAAGAAGGCCUACUGAUGCUCCGGUUAGAAGAUGCGACUACGAGAUAGAGGUCCAAGGCCGAAGGGGUAGAGGAAGACCUAGGAAAACUUUGGAAGAGACUCUAAGAAAAGACUUAGAGUACUUGGAUCUAAUAGAAGACAUGACACAGAACCGAGCGCAAUGGUGUUCUGGGAUUCAUAUAGCCGACCACACUUAGUGGGAAAAGGCUUUGUUGUUAUUGUUGUUGUAUAUUGCGGGCCAAAUUGUUUUCCUGUUAUAAUUGUCCAUCUCGUACAUAUUUUCAUGAGAGCGCUCUAAUUGUUCACAUUCUUACCUUUAAGUUAAUUGAGGUAUACAAUUAUCUACUUGUUUCCAGUUGUGUUAUAAUUGUCCAUCUCUUACAUUUUUUCCAUCUCAUACAUUUAUUUCUCUUUAUGGCACUUCUUCGGCUUUGCACUUUCCUUUUUUGUUCUAAUAUUUUCUAUCACUUUGUUUAUUUUAUUUUUGUUUCCAGUGGAACAUGGUUUCUUUCUGGGAAACUGGCAAAGAUGCUAUUAAUUGACUGUGAGCAGAAUGAUAGUUGCUGCUCAUUGACUAUAUCAGGUAUAAGUUAAAUCAUUCAUUUUGCCAUCUUCUGUUUUGCUAAUUCUUGCAUUGAUGUUAUGUGCUUUUGCUGGUAUAACAUCAUCUAGUUCCAUCUUGAUUUGUUUUGUACUAAAAUAUGUUGAUACAUACAAUAAAAUAGGAAGUACUGGAUUUUUUUUUAAUUUGUUUUUUGUUUUAUUCUUAUAUCUUAGCUUUCUGCUUUGACAUGGAUGAUUUUAAAACGUUGCAGUGCUGGACUUUACCCUGCAUCUCGUGGAGACAGGAUUAAAAAAUGAUGCUGUCCUGGAUUUAAUUGUUUUCUCCAUUCAGUAUGUUCUUGUUAACCAUGAAUACUGGAAAUUCAAGGUGAAGCAUACUCUUUGGAGAGUAACAUUGAAGGUACAGCCUUGAUGAAAACUGAUGGGGUUCAGCCUUCUGGUUUGUGUAUAACUAACAUAAAUUCUGAGCUGGUCCUAUUAAUUGGAUUGCCUCCCUAUAUCAGCCUUGAACCAUCAAACGCCAAGAAAUGACAAGAGAGUAAUUUUAUCAUUAAGAAAUUCCUUUAGAUUUAUAGAAAUGAAAAGAAAUUUGGCAAAUCAAGUUUUUUUUUUUUUUUUUUUUUUUUGUUCAUACGAGCGGUAGGUCUCGGGUUCGAGACUUGGGAGCAGCCUCUUCAUAAAUGGGGGUAAGGCUAGCCGACAUUCACCUCUCCUAGACCCUGCGUAAAGCGGGAGCCUUGUGCACUGGGUACGACCUUACGAGGUCAAAUCCAUUUGCCCUGCAUGCAUUUGAUAUCCUAUUUGUUGUAUCUUGUUAUGCUGUGACGUAUUUGGUUAAUGAGUGCGAAGCCUUUUGUCUUUCUUAUGCCUUCUGCAUUUGUUCUUUAAUUGAUGUAACUUAACCAGUUAAAGAGUAUGAGGCAUAUGACUCAUGAGUCUUUCAAAUAAAAAUGAAUGAGAGUACAGUUAUAUAGGAAGGGGGCUUAGUUAAGAGGUGGUUGUAAAGACUUCCAUUGGGAAGAUAAUCUCUUUGGCCUUUUUCCGUUCGUGUUCGAUUUGACAUUGAUGCCACUAUGUGAGCCUUUAAUGUGGUGGCUAUAGGUUUGAAUUAAGGUCCUUGGAAUGAUAUUUCAAGCGAAGUUAGUUAUUUUCUACAUGAUCUUUGGUUACUUGUGGGAAUGGGGGAAGAAUUGGUUCUUAGGGGGAUGACUAGGUUGAGUACCUUCCUUUUGGCUUUCUGUAUCUACGUUUAGUUGGUUAUAAUUUGUCAUUGAUGUGCCAAUUAACAAUCUCUGCUCUCCUACAUUCCAAACUUCCAAUGAGCCGGAAUUUCAAUUUCCGGAGAAAUUUGAAUGAUUUUCUCUCCUUUUGUUCCGUAGUUUGAAUAAUGUUCCAGAACUGUUGAGUAGAUAACAAGCUGGUAUAGGACUUGUGUACCUUUAAUGGAUUACUUGUUCUCUGUUGUCCUAAUUUCACCUCAUUCUAGUAGUGUUGUUCUGUUUAUUAUCGAAGAAAAGAAAAGAAUAAAAGAAUCAAGUUGAAAGCAUAUUUUUAAGCUGAUACACGUGAGCCCAAUAGCCAAGCUUGUAAAAGAAUUCCUAUCUGAAAUUCUGUCUGCAUCAAUGUGUGCAUGUUAGGGAACCGCAAUGUGCAUCAAUGCAUGCAUGCAUGGUACUGAACAUUGUUUUCUGCACCUGAAUGUCGCUUCUCAAGGCUAGUUAAUCUACUCUAUUUACUCAGUUAUUGAGGUCUCUGAAAUGAAACUUGGUGUUGUAAAUGUCGAUUACGGUGGGAGGGUCAAUUUUUACAUUAUUUUACUGGUUCAGGUGCUAGAAGUGAUGAAAAAAAUUAUUACAUCAGUAUCAUACUCUGAAAAGUUGGAUGAAGUCAUCCUGGAUAGGUUACUGUCUGAUUCGUCCAUCCAUAGUAAACUACCCAAGCACUGGAGGUGGGUUAUGUUAUGUAUCUUUUAAUCUUAUUUGGUAAUGACCUGCUGUUGUUUUUGUUCUAAUCACUAAUUUGAGAGCAUUUUUCUGCAGAGACUUUAUUUCAGCCGGCUCAUUGAUCUAACAGAGAUUGAAGGUCUACAGAUGGCUAUAUGUUCCGUUUUAGAUAUCCUUUUCAUCAUGCUCUCUAAAUUUUCUAAGGUAUUUGGAAAUAAGCUUGUUGAAUACACAUUUUGAUUGCAUGCUAUGUUUGAAAGACUUUUAAAGUUGCACAUGUUACAAUUUUUUGGGAUUAUAUUAGAUGAUGCGCAGAUGUGUUCUGUUUCUGUUCAAAAGUGAGUUUUCUUGAUGUACGGUACAAGUUUAAAAAAUAAACCAACCCUCUAGCUUGCUUUAAAAAGUAAAUGAGCAAUGAACGGUAUAACGAAAUGUUGUGUGUUCUUUUACCUAUUUUAUGGAGUAUUCUGUGCUUUUGCCAACUAUAUGCAUCUGUGAUGGAUAUCUUUCUUUAUUUGAAAUAUGAUGGUUGCAUUUUUAUUUUGUACUGUAGGUCCAUAGUUGAUGUUCAGUUAUGUUUAUUUUCAGGAUAUAUCUUCCAGUCCUCCAUUUUUUCAUCAAGCAGUUUUCUCAUCAGCUAGCAGACCAAUUCCUAUUGUUGCAGCGCUUGUGUCCUUGAUAUCUUACUUUCGCAAUCCUGUAUGGCCUUUCUCCAUACUCAAUUGUUAUUGAUUACAUUCUCUUCAUUGCGUUUGUAAAUACUAUAGUUAUAUGGUUCUUCCAUUUCGGUAACUGUGUAUUUACCUGUACAUUAUCAAAUUAUAACGUUGUUUUUUCUUUUUGUUAUUUCUGCUGGAAGAGUUCCUCAUUUACUUGUCUCCAUAUCUAUGUGAUUGUUGCUAUGUAGGAGUUGCAUGUCAAUUUGUUUCUGUUUUAUAUACUUUGUAGAACACAUGGAUUCAUAGGAAACUUGUACUUGUAUUCAGUGGUUUGUUACUCAGACCGUUGGGCAUGAUAGGCGUAAUGCUAAUCUUUUUUACCUUCAAACCAGAAUGCCCUACUUGAUUGUAAUGGCUUUGUGCACAUCUUAUUUGCAUUUAAUUAUGAAAAGGUUGGGCAGACUAUAAAUAUGGGGGAAUGUGUCCUUGUUGACUUGACCUUAAUUGUUUGCUUUGCUUGGUGGUAGGUGGGAUAAUAAUCUCAUAAUUGUUGAGCAUCUUUAUUAAUAUUCUCAAGUUCUCAAUGCAGGGAAUACAAGUUGGUGCUGCUAGGGUUUUAUCACUGUUCUUGAUGAUGGCUGAUUUUUUGGUCGGAUCGGAUUGGAAACAAGCAUUCCAAUCCACUCCAAAAGGGGUUGGAAUCAAAUAUUAGUUCCAAUUUCGGAUUUUGGAUUAUGAGAAUUUAUCAGAAAUUUCAAAAUUGAUUUUAUCUCGGAAUUUUUGGAAUAUAAUUCGUAUCUCUUGCAUUUUGCAAGACUUUGAAAAUUUUCAAACUUUUAUGUAUCCACCAUUCAAUAUUUUUUCUGAAUUUUUGCAAUAUUUGUAGGCCGCUGCAUGUGUGUUAUGAGAUAAAAUCAUAUUAGAUAAAAUAAGUUCUAGUCUUAUUUUUUAUUUUUCUACGAAUCUAUUAAUUUUAACUUGUGAAUUAUGUCUCUGGUUUUGUUUUCACUUUGGUUGGCUGUUUAUCACUUCUUUUUUCAUCUUCAUACAUUCUGUGAAUUUGUUGGUUAUGUUUUAUGAGUUGAAGCUUUUGGUUUUCCUCUUAAGUUCACUGCUCUAGGAAAUAGUCAUUUUUUGUAUAAGAAAGUUUCUCAUUAUUGUGUUCAAUCUGCUUCAUGACAUACGUUAGUACUAACCUAUUAUCUACACUAAGGGGUGGGGGAGUGGCUUUGGCGAGAAUCGAAAAUAAGACCUCUCACUUACAAGUGAAGAGUAAUACCACUGGACCCUAUUGCAAUAAUGUGGUUCAAAUUCGCCUUUGGCGAGAAUCGAAAAUAAGACCUCUCACUUACAAGUGAAGAGUAAUACCACUGGACCCUAAUACUAAGUGGCUUAUAGCUUCUUAAUUUUUAGAAUGCAAUAUUCAUACCUCUGUAACUUCACAGGUUGCUGCAAGUGUAAUCACUGCUUGUGUGAUGGUGAACUUAUCAAUUGGUGAUGCAGGAAGUUUGUCUAUGUCAUUAGUUGAGAAGUCCAGUAACACGUCAAAUAAGGUUCAUUCCCUUCUUGAUUGUGUUACUUAAUUUGUAAUCCAAGAUGAUUGUAUGCUGAGAAACCCAUAAAAGGUUCAAUUUAGUUUCUAAUUUCAUAGAUUCUCGUAUUUAGUACUUUCCGUUUUAGUAAAAUUGAGAUUGUAUAAUUUGCAUCAUAUCUGAUUGCUGUUAUCUUUCUUCUCACCCUUCUUCAUUGGCAGCUGAGAAGUCAUCCUGCUUUUUCUGAAUUGUUAGCUCAAUACUCACAGCAUGGUUACAGGUAACAUGUGUGCUAUUGUUAAUUUCAGUUGGAAUUUCUAGGUAAGGCUAGCCGACAUUCACCUCUCCCAGACCCUGCGUAAAGCGGGAGCCUUGUGCACUGGGUACGACCUUUAGCACUGCCACUUUUGAACAAGGCAUUUGUAAGUCAACAAACUGCCUCUAUACAGUACCUCUCCUGAGGAUUCUGGAUAUUUAUAACUGCCCCUUCCGGUCAAUGUGUUCUUAUAGUGUGAGCUGUGUUAUGUGUGAUACUUUAGUUUUGAGUUCUUGUCUUUGACAGACCGUCUAAGUGGUGACAUGCAGUCAUAAGUUUGGGAGGUUAAAUUUGCAUAGGCUUUGAAUACCAUAUUUGGUUUUUUUUAUUUGUUUCACAUAUACUCUUUUAAUAACCUGUGUUAUAUCUCAAAAGAAUGCUGAGACUACCACGUGGAUAAUGGAAUCAAUGAAUAAUGCGUGUUAUGUAUGUGCCCAUGUAUGAAUAAUAUAUAAUCUUAUUUUCAGUGCAGGGAAAGAGCCAAACUAUUUGAUACUUAGUGAUCUCUACUAUCAUCUGCAAGGACAGCUUGAAGGCCGUGAAAUCCGUGCUGGACCAUUCAAAGAACUCUCUCAGUUCCUAAUUGAAUCAAAUAUUUUUCAGACUUACCAACACAAGGAUGAUGGUGAUCUUUUUGUGACUGGAAGAGAUACAUACUUAUUUGAUCUUAAAUUUGUACGUGCUGAUUUGGGGUUAGAUCUUUGGGAUUAUUCAAAAUGGAAAGAAUCGAAGGCAACUGCAGAAACAAUGUUGCAUCACAUGAAAGCUGCAAACUCAAUGGCGAUGCUUACAAGUUCGAAGCUUUCUGCACUGAGAGCAUUAAGAAGUGUCUUAACUGUAUACGGGGAGGAUGUGAGUACUCUCUUAGAGUUUCUAAUUGCUUUUAGAUGCUUUCUUUAGAAAUUUGAUAUGCAGUGUCCUUCCGUUGAGGAAUCCCUCAACGAAAGGGGUCUGAUAAUAUCUGUAACUGCAUUUUAGGGUUGGAUAUUUUAAGGAUCAUGCAGAUGUAAGAGAUGUAAUGUUUUUGAAACAUGUUACAUCUGAUGCUAAACAAAUGUUAAUGCCUAAUAUUCUACAGGAACCUGUAAAGUUUGUGUAAAAACUAUUUCAAACAUUGAUUUCUCAUUUCAAAUCUUUUGGAAGUUGAACAGCAUCAGUGAUAUUGCAGUCUGUGAACUCUAUGCUAUACCUAUGUCAUGUCUACUUAAGUACUGAAGAAUGCAAUCAAAUAACUAGGACCUACGGCUAGAGUAGUAACUCUCAUGAUAUAAGAUGUGUCAAGUUUGUAUUGUUCAAAAUCGGGGUAUGAAUAGUAAAAGCAUGUAAUGGUAACUGGAGAAUGUGGAUUUCAUUUCGAAAUACUCUUUUAAUUAAUUUCUAUUCAUCUUACAAUGAACGGUUGUGAAGUCAUUGCAUUCCCGUUAAAUCAAGAAUAUGACAAGAAAAACCGAGAUGAGGAGGUUUUGAGUGUUUUGACAUAUAGUGAAGGCUACUUUGUCUUCGAUAAGACACAUGAUCUAAGCCUCCUGCUUUCAACAGUAGCAUCUAGAUGCUGAUCAGCACGGUAUUUUUGUCCUUGUGUUAAAGGUCGAUGAAUUUUUUUGUUGUGACAGUUUAGUUCUUGUCACUUUGUUGCUUUUACAAAUAUCUUAUUUCUUUUGAAAUUAAGUCAUGUGUACCUGCUACUGCAGUCACUGGAGACAAAGAGUACAGUGAGAUGGAUCCCUGAUCAACUUGUUUUCUCAUGCAUAGAUCACAUAUGCCUGAGCUUCCACAACACAGUAGAAUCAUGAGCUCCAGUACCCAGCGCUUCUGAAGAUAUCUUUCACUUCCUUGCGGCUCAAGCAGAAUUGCUUCUCUAUCUUAUGAUGUAUGCACAUAAAAGCCUGCCUUUAUCUGUUUGCAUUCUCGUACUAAAAACACAAGGUUCUGGCCUUUAAGUGUUGAGUGAUUUCAGAGCAUUAGUUACCGGGCCAUCAGUUAUGGGGGUUGACACUGUAGUAAAGCUCUUACUUAUGUUGCUUCUCUCAGCAGUGGAGUUUGGUUGUCAUAAGUUGCAUUUGGUUGGGGCAAGAGAUAUAAUUUCUGUCGAAGACAUGGCUAAAAUAUCUAAUGUGAGUCUUGGUCUACUACCAGUUCUCUGUAACUGUAUUGCUACUGCUGAGCACGGAACCCUCUCCCUAACUACUAUGGACUUGAUACUUCGAAAUUUCUUGACUCCCAACACUUGGUUCCCCAUUAUACAGAACCACCUCCAGCUUCAGCGUGUGAUUCUGAAGCUUCAAAAUAAAAAUUCUCUUGAGUCUGUGCCUGUUAUAAUGAAUUUCUUUUUUACUCUUGCCCGUUUUAGGCGGGGUGCAGAAAUGCUUAUUAAUUAUGGCUUUCUCUCGUCUCUGAGAUUCUUGUUCGCUGAAUACUUGGAUGGUACGUCUUCUUCCGAAACUAUUGAUAACAGAAAUUCCAACUCAUCAUCUAAGAAACUGGAAAAGCCUCCGCAAAUAUGGGGACUUGGUUUGGCAGUCAUCACAGCUAUGGUUGAGUCAUUAGGAGACAGUGCUGCUUGUUCCAAUCUUGUGGAGAAAGUACUACCUUACUUCUUUUCAGAGAAAGACUAUAUGAUUUCUUACUAUCUAAGUGCUCCGGAUUUCCCAUCUGAUGAUCAUGACAAGAAAAGACCUCGGGCUCAGCAGAGACAAACUUCUCUUACUGAUCUUAAAGAAACUGAGCACACUCUCAUGCUAAUGUGUGUGCUAGCAAAACAUUGGAAUUCCUGGGUUAAGUCUAUGAAAGAAUUGGAUUCCCAGUUGAGAGAGAAAAGUAUCCAUCUUUUAGCCUUUAUCAGUAGGGGAACUCAAAGGCUUGGAGAACCUUCUAGUCUUAGUGCCCCUCUGUUAUGUCCUUCUGUCCUUAAAGAGGAAUUUGAUGGCUGCAAGAAACCCUCAUUUAUCAACAGUAAAAGUGGAUGGUUUGCCCUUUCUGCCCUCAGUUGUGUUUCAAAACCAAAAUUCUCCACCAUCCCUACCACAUCUACUGCGCUGGUUAUUAAAACUCAAGCAACUGUAAAUGGCAGUCACAUUUCUCAGUCAUAUUUCUCUGACUCUAUUGCCCUACAGAUCUACAGAAUAACUUUUCUCCUUUUGAAGUUCCUGAGCUUACAAUGCCUGAGAUCUUACAUGGCUUACAGGUACGACGAUAAAUUUUGUUCUUUGAUUAGCUUUUUGUUUCGUUAUGCAAAACUAUAUCUGGUCUACAAUAACUUGUAAGUUUUGAGGUGGCGUUCCUUUUUAAUGUGGAUGUGUUAUUAUCUCUAAUGUAGGACCAAGCAAUUACAAUUGUUACAGAGCUGUGUGAGGUUAACAGAUCAAACGAGAUUCAAAUUGAAGUCCAGAGUAUCUGUUGCUUACUGCUACAAAUAAUGGAGAUGGCCUUGCACUUGGAACUCUGUGUUCUGCAGAUAUGUGGCAUAAGACCCGUACUAGGUCGUGUGGAGAGGAUUUUUCAAAGGAAGUUAAACAUUUAGUAAAAGGUAAAAACUCCCAUUUAUCUGCAUGUCUUCCAGUUGCAUUGAAUACGUAGUUUGUUACCAAGCUACUGGACGUUCAGUGAGUACUUGAUGUUUUCGUGUAAUGUGUUUUGUAGCGACGGAGAGACAUGCUUUCCUCAAACCAUCUGUGAAGUCCUUGAAACAGAUAUUAUCGGUCGUUUAUCCCGGAUUAUUACAGGCUGACGAGUUUCUGUGAGAUAGUCUUGUGCAUAUAGGCGAAAACCGAAAACUGUAAGGCUUUGCAAUGUAAUGUAAAAACUCUGCAUCACUUAAAAGGAAGGCUCAGAUGAACGGCUUUAGAAAUAUUCCACAUUUUGGUUAUAAAAUUGUGGGGUUUCGUUGAGCCAUUGUUUUUUGUAUUAUAUAUUGAAUUGCUUUUAAAAAAGAUGUGUUGUAUGAUUGAUGGGCAAGAUUUUGUUGAAUCCGUCGGCCAUUUUUCAUUGUCGCGUGCGAAUUUCCUGCCCUUCCCUUUUCCAAAGUUGAUUCCGUCAAGAGUCUCUGUCUCUGUCUCUCGUGUAAUUUACACGAAUUUUGAUUUGAAGGGAAGAUCCAUGGGACGGAGUAAUGAGAUUCAGGCCCUUUAAACAAAGACAUCUUUUUCUUUCUUUUUUUUGGAAACAUAGGGAAUAAUUGUAGAAUUCAUUUCGUAUUGAAUUUUAAUGAUUCGAUUUGUCUAUUUUGUAAGUCUUGAUUCAUAGAUCAUUUUUGCAAAAUUUCAAUUCAAUUCGAUACCAUUUGUCUAUUUACUAGUCAUAAUGAAAUUUCAAUGUUUUUAAGAGCAUGGUGUGUUGUCAAUUUCUUUGAACUAAAUUAGAUGCCUAAGAUAUUUUUGAUUUGGUUAAUAUUUUACAAGUUAAUCUAUGAAAUGCAACUUGAAAAAUAAAUAAUUCGAAUUGUUAAAAUUCGACGUGAUGUGAACCCCACGACUAUUUUUCAUUUUUGAGAAAAAUGGAAGUCUUUUCCCUUAAAGACUCUGAUUGUUACUACAAUACUCAGCGAUGUGCCUCACAUUGUUUUAUUGUCCUUGCUGUGCCACUUCUAUAUUUGUGUAAAUACAGUGAAAGAAUUUUAUAUACAUUUGUUUAUUUUUUGCACAUCUGGUUUCAAUUCUGACUUUUGAUUUCGCUACCAAUAACUGAAAAAAAAAAUGCAAGAGGUGAAAAUCAAUUUACAAAAAUAAUAUCCCUAAAUACGCAAGUUUAGAAAGUUGGAAGGACAAAACUUGAGAUUCAUAGGAAAAAUCUAAAAGAAAAACUGAGACAACUGUCCAAGUAACGGUGACCACGUAAUGAAUGCUACGAGAACAUAUGUCCAAGCACUUAACAAAAAUUGCCAUUUUGAAAUAAAUUGAAGAUAAUCCCCUAACUUUACUAAACAAAGUGCCCUCCUCUUUUUAGGAACAAUGACCCUUUAACCAUAUUACUUCUAUUCAUUUCUGAUUUAUAUUUUCCAUUAUGAAGAAAAUUAACAAACUAAUCUUAAUCUGCUUGUUGGUUGGAUCAAUCCGAAAGAGAUCUUUUAAUAUGUCUAAAAUACGAUGCGGUAUAUCAUAUUUUAUUAUAUAAGUAGGGGAUUUUUUUUUUCUUUCAAGUAUUCAUCUUUUCGUAUAAUAACAUAUGAUAUAUGUGUAUGUUUCGAGCACUUUGAAAAUCUCACAUCAACCCACAUUUCCAUGGUUGGUGGAUCCAUGCUCCACGGGUAUAAUCAUAUUUAAUAAAUAUAAAAAUAUAAAAAUUGGUUCCCCUGAUCCGUAAUUUCAGAUCUUUUGGCUUCAUAUAUUUGUUGACAUCUGAAUAACCUCGUGAAAUCUCCACUGUUGGAUCUGCUCCAGAGAAGGUCAGUAAUUCAGUCAAAUUGUCAGUGUUAACUUUUUAUUAAAUCCACACCCGAAACCCCCGAAUAGCAUCUUAUCUUCUCCUCAUGUGUCGACGAACCCUUACCCGAAAGCAAAAAUGGUUUCAAAAGUAAAGAAGAUAUGUCUUUCACCAAGAUCAUCAAAUCAAAUGAUUUGAACUUUUAAAAUUUCAUUCAACUAUAAAAUAUUAUUAUAGUUUUGAAAAGUUUAAAACAAGUGGAUCGUUGGAUAAAAUUUUAAAUGUCUGAAUCACUUAAUCAUAUGAUAUUGGUAAAAAAAUCCGACAAUGAUAUAUUCUCUCAAAAGUGAAAUUAUGAGAGAGUCGCUUUAUAAUAUUAUAUUUUAUAACGAUGGAACGAAAAUUACUGUAAAAAUCAGACUCAAAAGUGAGACUCUAACUCAAUAAUAACUCAUGUUAUGACACAGUAUCUUCUGUUAUUGAAAUGAAAAUUAACGUUAAAUUAUAAGAUGACAGUCGACCUCAUCCGAAAAAUAACAAAAGCAUAUACCCAGCAUACCCACUUCAUUCAACCUCGGAUCCCAAAAUACACCACGGUUAAAAACCCGACCCAACCACGGUUAGCCCGUCCCUCUUCGGAUUCGCUCCACGUUUUUCAAUCCAACGGAUGAAAAAAACUUGACCUAGACAUUCCCCGCAGAAACCCUUUUAUAAAGGGAACUUUAACGAAAAGCACCCGGUACUGUUCACUUUAACGAAAAAUCACAUUUUUACACUAAAAAGUCAAUCUUGGUACUAUUCACUUUACCCUUUAUUUUGUCCUUAUUAUUAAAACUCAAAGUUUUCAAGCCCUUUUCAUUAGUUUUCAUUUUAUAAACCCCCGCGUCUUCGUGAUCUGGUCCACGCAUCACAAACCCCAAUCCCACUCUCUUCAUUCUCUCCUCUAGAACGAACCGCAAUGGCAAACCCUAAGGUUUUCUUUGACAUGACGAUCGGAGGCCAGCCGGCCGGCCGAAUCGUGAUGGAGCUCUUCGCCGACACCACCCCCGCACCGCCGAGAACUUCAGGGCUCUCUGCACCGGCGAGAAGGGCAACGGCCGCUCCGGCAAGCCCCUCCACUACAAGGGAUCCGCCUUCCACCGCGUGAUCCCCGGGUUCAUGUGCCAGGGAGGUGACUUCACCGCCGGAAACGGCACCGGAGGAGAGUCGAUCUACGGCGCCAAGUUCGCCGACGAGAACUUCAAGAAGAAGCACACCGGACCUGGAAUAUUAUCCAUGGCCAACGCGGGUCCCGGAACCAACGGAUCUCAGUUCUUCAUCUGCACAGCCAAGACCGAGUGGCUCGACGGCAAGCACGUGGUGUUCGGGCAGGUGAUCGAGGGUCUGGAUGUGGUGAAGAACAUCGAGAAGGUCGGAUCUGGACAGGGAAGGACCUCGAAGCCGGUGGUUAUCGCCGACUGCGGCCAGCUAUCCUAGACGCCGCCGCUUGGGCUGCUGAUGUAUGGACGAUGGAAACGUCGUCGUGUUAUGUGAUGAGUGUUUAAAUUUGGGUAUUAAAGUAGGUGGGGUCAUAUUAGGGUUUGGGUUAUGGAC
rnacentral:lncRNA from 1 species